rnacentral:lncRNA from 1 species
UUUAGAUUCAGUUCAGCGUGCUUGUACUCAUCUAGCGAAGGGACUCGUUUUUAUCACUAGCGCGUCUCAGCCUCGGUGGUUAGUGUGUUGCGUUUCCACCCAGGAGACCAGGGAUCAAAUCCCCAUGCAUGUUAUAUUUUUAGGAUUUGUGCCUCUCCAUGCGCUCAGCUUCUGCCUUAUUUAUUUUUAUGCUGUUUUGUCAAUUUUGACACAACCACUUAUUUAGUCUGGGGGUAGGGCUACUAAUGUCCAUGCAAGGGAUCUGGGGUUCAAAUCCUAGCAAUUCCAUUUUUUUAUAUUUUGGACAGACUCAAAUGCCCGUUUGUAAAAUUCAUAUAAAUUUAGCCGUGGACCGGAUUAAAAUGUUUUCCACACGUAAGUUGCUUAGAAUUUUCUGUAGUUUCUCAAAAACCAACUCUCAUGCAUAAUUAGAUAUGUUUAGUGUGUUGUUUGCAUCGGUUUGCAUCUCGACGUGUUGAAAACGGUUUAGGUCGUAACUAUUUGUCCGUAGCUCCGUUGGAGAUGUGCCAUAUAUGUAAAUGGACCAGAACGACGAGUAGAAUCACGUGUUCCACUUUGUUUCUCCGUUUAACAAAUAUAAAAUGUGUUUAGGAAAAAUCUGGGCAGAAUUAAGAUUUAACACGUGGGGUCAUUUCGGAGAUGCUAUAUGUCGUUUCCGGUCUCAUUUAAAAUGACUAGCUAGGUAGAUUAAUUUGUGCUUCACCCUCGUGCCAGGUUUAACAACAUUUAAUAUAUCCGUAUACCUGAACGGGAGUGAACUAAAUAAUUCAACGUGGAGUUUCGUCGAUAUGCAACUCGUUGCAUAUCGAGCUUCACUUAAUGUGUAGUGUUUGAUUGUUGUGAUUGUCACGCAUUGCAUUAGACCGUUCAUGCAUCAUGUGUGUCUUGCAUCGUGUGGUGUAUAUCGUGUGUUGAUGCUUGUUUCCGGUUUCCUCCGUCUCGAUAGAGUUCCGCAAGCGUGUCGGAUGUGAGGGCCGUUCGACUACGUCGGUUCGUCUGCUUCGCGGAGUCAUUCUUCUUUCAAGCGGGAUCUCAGGCAAGAUGAUCAUUUCCCUAGAUACCACUACUAUCAUUGACAUGCUAGUUUUAUCGCUUCUAUCGUUUAUGUCUCGUUGCCUACCACCUGUUAAAUAUCAGCCUCUCAACAAUGCCAUGAUUACCUUCAACCUGUUCAACCUAGCAAACCACUGAUUGGCUAUGUUACUGCUUGCUUAACCCUGUUGAUAGCGUUGCUAGUUGCAGAUGCAGAUGCUUCCAUGUGAAAACAUGGGUUCCUUGUUAUAUCACCAUAUUAAAUGCUAUUUAAUUUAAUGCACCUAUAUACUUGGUAAAAGGUGGAAGGCUCGGCCUUUCUAGCCUGGUGUUUUGUUCCACCUUUGCCCCCUUAGAUUCGGCUACCGGUGUUAUGUUCCAUAAAGGAGCGCUCCUAACACGAUCGGGGUUGUUAUGGGGACCCCCUUGAUAAUUCGUUUUAGAUUAAAGCUGGUCUGGCAAGGCCCAACUUUGGUACUACAUUUGCCUAAACACCUAAUAAAAUUGCAUAGGGACUUUCCGGACCCCGAGGAUAAUUUAAUCAACCCCCGGGCCAGUGCUCCUCAUGAGUGUUGGUCCCACCUGAGCGAUGUCCGGCGCCCCUCUGGUCACCCGGAGGUUUAGCGAUCCCGACGUCUAGCUCAUCCGCCGUGUCCUGAGAACGAGGUACGCGACUCCUAUCGAGAUCGUCGACACGUCGGGCGGCCUUGCUGGAUUAGUUUUACCUUUGACGAGAUAUCUUGUGCAUCGGGAUUCCGGUGAUGCUUUGGGUAAUCUCAGAGUUGAGGUUUUCCACUAGGGAAUCCGACGAGAUCGCGAGCUUCGUGAUUGAGGAUUUCUAUGCAGCUUGUGGUAAUUUGUGAUNNNNNNNNNNNNNNNNNNNNNNNNNNNNNNNNNNNNNNNNNNNNNNNNNNNNNNNNNNNNNNNNNNNNNNNNNNNNNNNNNNNNNNNNNNNNNNNNNNNNNNNNNNNNNNNNNNNNNNNNNNNNNNNNNNNNNNNNNNNNNNNNNNNNNNNNNNNNNNNNNNNNNNNNNNNNNNNNNNNNNNNNNNNNNNNNNNNNNNNNNNNNNNNNNNNNNNNNNNNNNNNNNNNNNNNNNNNNNNNNNNNNNNNNNNNNNNNNNNNNNNNNNNNNNNUGGAAGCUUUGUUUAACACUGGUUCUAGAUAACUUGAAGUUAACUUAAUUAAAACAUGCCAACUGUGUGCGUAACCGUGACUGUCUCCUUCGUGAGUUCCUUCUCCGAUCGAGGACACGGUGGGGUUAUGUCUGACGUAGGUAGGUGUUCAGGAUCAUUCUUUUGAUCAUCUGUAGUGACGUCCGUUAUGCGUAGAUCUCCCCCCUCUUAUUUCUUGUACUCGUAAGUUAGCCACCAAAUAUAUGCUUAGUCGCUGCUGCAACCUCACCACUUAACCAUACCUCACCCAUUAAGCUUUGCUAGUCUUGAUACCUUUGGAAAUGAGAUUGCUGAGUCCCCUGUGGCUCACAGAUUACUACAACACCAGUUGCAGGUACAGGUAAAGGUUACUUGACGCGAGCGCGUUGAUUGUUCAUUUGGGGUUGCUUCUUCUUCUUCUUCUUCAUCGAUCUAGGAUGGGUUCCAGGCCGGCAGCCCGGGAUAGCAAGGAUGGACGUCGUUCUUCUUUUGUCGUUUGUUUUCGUCCGUAGUCGGACCCUGCUCUUACUCUUGUUGUUUAUGUAAUGUACUGAUGUGACUCUGAUGUAGCUUGUGGCGAGUGUAAGCCAACCCUUUAUAUAUCUCUCCUUUUCAGUAUAUGUACUUGUAACGAUAUCCAUUCUUGCGACACGACGAGAUGCGCUUCUAUCCCUGACGAGGCCUUCGUGCCAAAUUGAGGAUAGGGUCGCAUCUUGGGCGUGACACGUCACCUCGCCUUUAGCUAGUCUCCGUUUAUGUCGUAGCUUUCAUUUCGUGUUAAUAAUCACUUAGCAACCGAACCGGUAUCCAAUACCCUCGUGCUACUAGGAGUACUAGUAAAGUACACAUCAACAUCAUGUAUAUCAAAUAUACUUCUUUCGACUUUUGCCAGCCUUCUUAUCUACCAAGUAUCUAGAGUUGCUCCGCCUCAGUGACCGUUCCCCUCAUAACAGAAGCACUUAGUCCCGGGCUUGGGUUUAAUCUGGGGUCUCUUCAUUAGUACAGCAACUGCUUUGCCGUUUCACGAAGUAUCCCUUCUAGCCCUUGCCUUUAUCGAAACUUAGUGGUUUUACUAACCAUCAACUAUUGAUGCUCCUUCUUGAUUUCUACUUUCGCAGUGUCAAACAUCGCGAAUCGCUCAAGGAUCAUUGUAUCUAUCCUUGAUAUGUUAUAGUUCAUCACGAAGCUCUCGCAGCUUGGUGGCAGUGACUUUGGAGAACCAUCACUAUCUUAUCUGGAAGAUCAACUCCCACUCGAUUCAAGCGAUUGUCGUACUCACAUAAUCUGAGCACACGCUCAAUGAUUGAGCUUUUCUCCUCUACUUCGUGGACAAAGAAUCUUGUCGGAGGUCUCAUACCUUUUAAUAAGGGCACAAGCAUGAAAUCACAUUUUCAUCUCUUUAGAACAUCUCUUAAGUUCCGUGACGCUUCAAAAUGUCUUCGGCGCCUUGCUUCUAAGCCAUUAAGUAUUUUGUACUGAACUAUCGUGUAGUCAUCAGAAAUGUGUAUGUCAGAUGUUCACAACAUCUACAGACGUCGAUCGAGGUGCAGCACACCGAGUGGUGCAUUAAGGACAUAAGCCUUCUGCGCAACAACGAGGACAAUCCUCGGCUUUACACACUCAGUCUGUAAAGUUUGCUACUAUCAACUUUCAACUAAAUUUUCUCUAGGAACAUAUAAAAACAGUAGAGCUAUAGCGCAAGCUACAUCGUAAUUCGCAAAGACCAUUGGACUAUAUUCAUGACAAUUAGUUCAAUUUAAUCAUAUUACUUAAGAACUCCCACUCAAAAAGUACAUCUCUCUAGUCAUUUGAGUGGUACAUGAUCCAAAUCCACUAUCUCAAGUCCGAUCAUCACGUGAGUCGAGAAUAGUUUCAGUGGUAAGCAUCUCUAUGCUAAUCAUAUCAACUAUACGAUUCAUGCUCGACCUUUCGGUCUCAUGUGUUCCGAGGCCAUGUCUGCACAUGCUAGGCUCGUCAAGCUUAAUCCGAGUGUUCCGCGUGUGCAACUGUUUUGCACCCGUUGUAUGUGAACGUUGAGUCUAUCACACCCGAUCAUCAUGUGGUGUCUUGAAAUGAAGAACUGUCGCAACGGUGCACAGUCGGGGAGAACACAAUUUCGUCUUGAAAUUUUAGUGAGAGAUCACCUCAUAAUGCUACCGUCGUUCUAAGCAAGAUAAGGUGCAUAAAGGAUUAACAUCACAUGCAAUUCAUAAGUGACAUGAUAUGGCCAUCAUCAUGUGCUUCUUGAUCUCCAUCACCAAAGCACCGGCACGAUCUUCUUGUCACCGGCGUCACACCAUGAUCUCCAUCAACGUGUCACCAUCGGGGUUGUCGUGCUACUCAUGCUAUUACAACUAAAGCUACGUCCUAGCAAUAUAGUAAACGCAUCUGCAAGCACAAACGUUAGUUUAAAGACAACCCUAUGGCUCCUGCCGGUUGCCGUACCAUCGACGUGCAAGUCGAUAUUAACUAUUACAACAUGAUCAUCUCAUACAUCCAAUAUAUCACAUCACAUCGUUGGCCAUAUCACAUCACAAGCAUACCCUGCAAAAACAAGUUAGACAUCCUCUAAUUGUUGUUGCAUGUUUUACGUGGUGACCAUGGGUAUCUAGUAGGAUCGCAUCUUACUUACGCAAACACCACAACGGAGAUAUAUGAAUUGCUAUUUAACCUCAUCCAAGGACCUCCUCGGUCAAAUCCGAUUCAACUAAAGUUGGAGAAACCGACACUCGCCGGUCAUCUUUGAGCAACGGAGUUACUCGUAGCGAUGAAACCAGUCUCUCGUAAGCGUAGGAGUAAUGUCGGUCCGAGCCGCUUCGAUCCAACAAUACCACGGAAUCAAGAAAAGACUAAGGAGGGCAGCAAAACGCACAUCACCGCCCACAAAAACUUUUGUGUUCUACUCGAGAAGACAUCUACGCAUGAACCUAGCUCAUGAUGCCACUGAUGGGGAACGUCGCAUGGGAAACAAAAUUUUUCCUACGCGCACGAAGACCUAUCAUGGUGAUGUCCAUCUACGAGAGGGGAUUUCCGAUCUACAUACCCUUGUAGAUCGCACAGCAGAAGCGUUAGUGAACGCGGUUGAUGUAGUGGAACGUCCUCACGUCCCUCGAUCCGCCCCGCGAACCGUCCCACGAUCCGUCCCACGAUCUAGUGCCGAACGGACGGCACCUCCGCGUUCAGCACACGUACAGCUCGACGAUGAUCUCGGCCUUCUUGAUCCAGCAAGAGAGACGGAGAGGUAGAUGAGUUCUCCGACAGCGUGACGGCGCUUCGGAGGUUGGUGGUGAUCUAAUCUCAGCAGGGCUCCGCCCGAGCUCCGCAAAAAUGCGAUCUAGAGGUAAAACCGUGGAGGUAUGUGGUCGGGCUGCCUUGAAAAAGUUGUCUCAAAUCAGCCCUAAUAGCUCCAUAUAUAUAGGAGGAGGGGAGGGGAGGCUUGCCUUGAGGCUCAAGGAGCCCCAAGGGCUGCUCCACCAAGGUGAGGAGGAGUCCUCCUCCAAUCCUAGUCCAACUAGGAUUGGAAGGUGGACUCCUUCUCUUCUUUCCCACAUUUCCUUUUUUUUUCUCUUCUUUUGGUUUUUCUUUCUCUCUUGCGCAAGACAGCCUUGGGCUGACCCCACCUACUUGGUGCGCCACCCCCAAGGUCCUUGGGCCCUCCCGGGUGGGUGGUCCCCCCUCCCGAUGAAGAUCCGGAACCCAUACGUCAUUCCCGAUACAUUACCGGUAAUGCCCGAAAACCUUCCGGUAACCAAAUGAAGUCAUCCUAUAUAUCAAUCUUCGUUUCCGGACCAUUCCGGAAACUCUCGUGACGUCCGUGAUCUCAUCCGGGACUCCGAACAACAUUCGGUAACCAACCAUACAACUCAAAUACGCAUAAAACAAUGUCGAACCUUAAGUGUGCAGACCGUGUGGGCUCGAGAACUAUGUAGACAUGACCCGAGUGACUCCUCGGUCAAUAUCCAAUAGCGGGACCUGGAUGCCCAUAUUGGAUCCUACAUAUUCUACGAAGAUCUUAUCGUUUGAACCUUAGUGCCAAGGAUUCAUAUAAUCCCGUAUGUCAUUCCCUUUGUCCUUCGGUAUGUUACUUGCCCGAGAUUCGAUCGUCAGUAUCCGCAUACCUAUUUCAAUCUCGUUUACCGGCAAGUCUCUUUACUCGUUCCGUAAUACAAGAUCCCGCAACUUACACUAAUUCACAUUGCUUGCAAGGCUUGUGUGUGAUGUUGUAUUACCGAGUGGGCCCCGAGAUACCUCUCCAUCAUACGGAGUGACAAAUCCCAGUCUCGAUCCAUACUAACUCAACGAACACCUUCGGAGAUACCUGUAGAGCAUCUUUAUAGUCACCCAGUUACGUUGCGACGUUUGAUACACACAAAGCAUUCCUCCGGUGUCAGUGAGUUAUAUGAUCUCAUGGUCAUAGGAACAAAUACUUGACACGUAGAAAACAGUAGCAACAAAAUGACACGAUCAACAUGCUACGUCUAUUAGUUUGGGUCUCGUGUAUCACAUGAUUCUCCUAAUGAUGUGACCCCAUUAUCAAGUGACAACACUUGCCUAUGGUCAGGAAACCUUGACCAUCUUUGAUCAACGAGCUAUUCAACUAGAGGCUUACUAGGGACAGUGUUUUGUCUAUGUAUCCACACAUGCACCGUGUUUCCAAUCAAUACAAUUAUAGCAUGGAUAAUAAACGAUUAUCAUGAAUAAAGAAAUAUAAUAAUAACUAAUUUAUUAUUGCCUCUAGGGCAUAUUUCCAACACAAAUCACCAAGAUUGUUGUCAUGAAGAACAUUACCAUCAUUCUCAUCAUCAUGGUGCUCAUCAUUAGCCUCUAGCAAUGGUUCAUGUUCAAUGUUGGCCUCUUCGUUGGCCUCAUCGACACAAGAAAGAGGUUCAAUGUUGGCCUCUUCGUUGAUGGGUGCAGGAAUAGCUUCAACAAUCGGAGAGGCAACCCGGUUCAAAUCCAACAAGUUAGGAACAUUUGUUUUGAUGGCAAAUAACUCUAGAGCCUUGUCUAGUGAUUCGGCCACCGUAUCCUUGUAUGCAAGCCAACGUUGCUCGGAGUUGACACGCAUGGUCUUCCAACGAAUGUGCAUUCCGAAUCCCACAUUAUGCCUACCAUCAAACUCAACUACAUCACUAGGGUCCAUCCAAUUCAAAUCCUUUCGGACUUGUUCCAACAAUUCACCAUAGCUAGGACACAAAUCAAACACCAUGUCAAGCUCACCCGGGUCCAGAUCAAUAUUGCCUUUUAAAAAGGCAUCCUUGUCCACGUGAUGAACAUAAACACAUGUUCUUCCCAUCCCUAAACAACAAAACAUAGAACUUUUUUUAUAAGCAAUCAUACAACUACAAUAUCUACUUACUAACUUCCAAACAUCCAUAACCCUAACCCCAUCAUAAAUCUAACACAACCAAACAUCCCUAACCCUAGCCUAACCAUAGCCUAACCAUAGCCUAACCCUAGCCUAACCCUAAAACAACCAUAAUGCAAACAUCCAAACAACCCUAAUCCUCACACCAUCAUACCCCUUAUCAUAACAUACAAACAAAUACAACAAUAUCAUAUACAUCCCACAUUUCAUGAAAAACUAGGGUUUUCCUCAAAUUUGCAAAAAAAGACCACAAGAGAUUUUUCUUUGGAUGAGAAUGAGGGGAGAGGUGGGGAUUACCUUAGGGGAGUGAUUGGACAACAAAUGUCCGGUCCAAACCUUCAGAUUUGGUGAUUUGGAGAAGGAUUUGAAGAGGGGCCCGUGGUUGGGAGAGGGGGCUGGGGGAGGGGAAUGAGGAGGGGGUGGGAGAGGGGUUGGCCCGUGCCUGUUUAAGUCAAUGUGUGGCGCCUAAGUGUUCGGCGCUAGGCGUCACACGGCCUGGGGGGUGGGCCCUCCCUGCCAGGUGGUCGGGGGGUGUGGUGCCGAACGGCUAGGCAUCACACAGUGUAGUGUGGCGCCUAGGUGUCGGGCGCCACACAAAAUGGUCAGACGGGUGAAAUAUUUUUCCCCGAGGGUUCACUCUGUGAGUUCUUUCCCUGAGUGGUCAUUUUUGUCAAUUUUGCCCUCUCUCACGCUCGCCUGAAACCCUAGCUUGUUCCGCCGCAAUCAGAAGAGGGAUCCGCUCACAUGGCUGGCCAGCGUAACCGUAACCGCAUCCGUCGUCAGCGCGCCAAGGCUAGGUUGGAUUCGGAGGUUGAGGCGGAGGCGGAGGGGGCGGCGAGGGUGCCAGAGGUCGACGGGGAGGAACUGCGGGGGACAGUAGAUAUCCGGGCUCUGCGGCGGCGGCGCCUGAUUAGCCGGAUCCGCGGCCACUACCUCGAUGCCAUCUCCCGCCUGCCCACCACCGAGCUCAACAGUACCCUAGCGCGCGGCCUCCUCAUCGCCGGUCUCUGCUACGGCCCUCUACACCCCGUCCACAACAUCAUCGUCAAUUCUGUCUGGUAUUCGGCCGCUUUUCCCGUGCGCUCCAGCGACCGGAUCGACGCCGCCUUCAUCAGCAACUGUACCAUACGCCGCCUAGUUCUGCGCUCGCUUGAUGGAUUGGUUGCCUCGCUUCUCCAUCUCUGUCCUGCCCUCUCCGAUGACGAUGCCCUUUGGCACCUCAGUCUCUCCCGCGCUGACCUCCGUGCCGCUGUUGCCUCCGCACGCGGUGCUGCACCGUCGUCGUUCCGUCUGACGGCAUCGGAGCUGGAAGCCGCCUUUCAAGCGGCUGACAAGGCGGCGCGACACUUCAAACCUGCAGCCCUUGCACUCUUUGCUUCUUCCACUGUGCUUUCCGUGGAACGUGACGCUGUCUCUCUGCUCAACAACAAGCGCACGCUUUCCUCGGCUGACAUUCUGCGCCUCUCCACCAUGUUGCUGCCUUCCCCACUACCAGAUGAGCUGCCACACCCUCCUCUUGAACAAGAGCGGUUCACGGCGGCCUUUAAACUCAUCACCAGAAAGAGGAACCUUCUCACAGGAUGGUACAAACGGUGGGUUGAACUAGCAGAUGCAGCGUUGCGCAAGUAUGCCCGGCAAACUGCAGCACAUUAUCAGCUUCAUGUCAUCUAUGGCAUUGGUUCUGUACAUGACGAGUUCAGUAUGGAUGAUUCUUUCCACAUUAGUUUUAUGGCGCGGCCUAAGGAUCCUUCCUGUGCUAGAGAAGCUCCUGUUUUUUUCUUUGCUGAAGCACGUCUAUCUGGCUACGACUUUUGUGAAGAGGACAUCACCUUGUGCUGUACAGUAGAACCAUCACCAAGUGAAGUUGGUAUUCUCUUGACCUCCAAUCAGUUUUGUCUUUUCAGUACUGAAAUUAUUUAGUGCUACUCAUGACAUCUGAUCAUCUCAUGCAUGGUUGGUUCUUUGGUAGUAUUUGAAACGAAACUAAGAUGCUUAUGACUUCAUUCACUAGUUUGUUAGGGAUUUGUUUGCCUGGGGCAUACGUAAUAGGUGCCAUGAAUCAUCUUUCUGAUCCUCUCCAUCUGCAAAAAUCCAGAUAGGUGCCAUGAAUGUGUUACCGGAAACUUCCAAAUUGACCACCCGGAUGAUUCUGAGAAAUUUUCUGGUGGGCAGUACUACACUUUGGAUGGAACAGUCAAAGACCUGGAUUGCCCCAUCAAAAGUGAUGCUGACUACAGGUGUUUCCACCCUGUCAGAGACAUUGGUCUCGUGGAGUACCUGGAUCAAGAGUUAACCAGUUACAUAUCCUCUUGUCCCUCCAGACGUCGUCGUUUUUAUAGAGAAAACAUCGAUGAAGCUAUCUUGGGCUACUGCAGCAGAAUUAUGUGAUCUGUUAUGUGAAUGGUGUUGUUCUUGGCCUGUCCCGUCCUCAUGUAUACAUGUUAUCAAACCGAGAGACGCUUACAGUGCGUCGCUUGCCGGUUGUGUCAUUUUUUGCUUGAAACGUGAAUGGUGUUGCUAUUAAUAGAUGUAGAAAACAAUCAGGUGUAGCACUUUAGUAGCAUCCAGUUCUGCUUUUUUGUCAUGUUGAGCAAAUGUGGUGCCAUAGCAAAUCCCUUCCAUGGUCACCCCUUUCUGCCUCCUAACCUAAGGUUAGUACUUGUUUUUAGGUUGGAAAAAUAAUGAUAGCGUGUUCUGAGGAUUGGGUAGUGGCUUGCAUUUGUUGUGCAGCAGCCCACACAGAUACUCUCUCUCUUCACAAAUAUAAGAUGUUCUAACUUUUUUGUGAAUCGGAUGUAUAUAUACACGUUUGUGCGUUUGCUCAGGCAUUUUGGUUCGUAUGUAGUCCACAUUGAAAUAUCCAAAACAUCUUAUACUCCUUCCGUUCCAAAGUAAUUAGUGUCGUGGUUUUAGUUCCACGACAGUUGUUUUUGAACGGAGGGAGUAUUAUAUAAGUCUUUUUAGAGAUUCCCCUACAAACUACAUACGGAUGUAUAUAGACAUAUUUUAAAGUGUAGAUUCAAUUAUUUUGCUCACUAUGUAAUCCAUAGUGGAAUCUCUAAAGAGACUUAUAUUUAGGAACGGAGGUACAAAGAGGUUGCGGAUUCAGAUAGCUGAAAACGACAUGAAACUGACCGACUGACUGAAGCAACACAAUGAGAGGCUCCGGGCUGCGGACGAGAGAUGACCCCAACUUCGGUUAGUGUUCUUCAGGUUGUCAAAUUGAAGGUCCCGUUUGUUUGACCUGUGAAUUUGCUAUAACCGUUCGUGGGUUGGGUUAUAUGUUGUGAGUGGACAUAAAGUAACGCAUCAGACGAAUCGAUGCAUUACUUCAGGUAAACUCUUCACAACACAGCAGAAUUUUGCUGGGUUCUUUCAGCAUUGCAUCAGCUAUCACAGUUACAUUAGAAAAGUUUUUUUUUAGCUGAUAAACUCUGCUGUGUCAAAUUAGUUACAGGAAAAUCUGAGGAAAAUGAGAGACGAGCACAUAAGCACUGGGAGUAGCUGUCGUUUCAUCUAGCUCGGUUAGCAGUACUGAAUCAGUGAUUCACUGAGCUCAGCAGACACCGCUGAAAGUAGUCAAGAUGCCCUCGGUUCAGGUCACUGGAGAACCAGACUCCUCUGGCGCUAGUGAUCACCAUGUCAAUGGCAUACACAACCAAGCUACUGAUGAAGUUCCGUUGCAUUUAAGCUUCCAGAUCAGUUGACGAAAAGAAUUAAAAAUGCAGUAGAAAUUCAAAUCGAUUUUUUUACGGAAUUGAAUCUCUGCUGUAUUUUUAAAUAUGCCCGUCAACAAAAUGUGAAAAAUUCCCAGAUUGGUUAGAAUGGUGCUGAUUUUACAGUUUCUUUUAUAGAAAAGUCUGGACAUUUUGGUCAAAAUUUGACAAAUAGGGGCUGAAAUUGAAUUUCUAAUAUAUUUUUAAAUAUGUUUGUAAAAAAAGUGUGGGACUUCCCCAGAUUGGUCAUCAUAGUAUUUUUGAUUUUAUAGAAUUUUUAUGGACACUUUGUUUUUUUGUCAAUUUAACAAAAAGGGGUUGAAAUUGAAUUUAUACUGUAUUCUUAAAAUCUACUCCCUCUGUCAACAAAUGUAAGACGCUUUAAUUCACUAAAGUAGUGACCUAAAACGUCUUAUAUUUGUUUAUAGAGGGAGUAAUUGUCAAAAAAGUAUGAAACUUUCCCAGAUUAGUCAGCAUGGUAGUAUGAAUUUUAUGUCAUAUUUUUAUUUUUUCUAGACACAAUAUUUGGUAACUUUUUUGACAAAAAAGGGCCGAAAUUAGAUUUCUACUGUAUUUUAAAUAUGUUAGUAAAAAAAGUGUGAAACUUCCCCAGAUUUAUUAGCAUGGUAGUAUUAAUUUGACAGAAUUUUUCCAAAAUUUUCUGCACGGUUUGAGUUUUUGACCAAAAGGUUGGCUGGUGACGUUGCAGGUGACUAGAUGGUUUGAAACGAGUCAAACCGACGGCACCGGUUUGAAAAGAGUUGGGGUUGAAAGUUGCACUGUUUUGAAAGUUGAGAGUUGGAACUCAGUCUGUUUUAAAAUUUACUUCUUUUUUCAGAUAUUUGUGUCAAUUCAGUGUUGAAGUAUGUACUACUGUUGCAAAUGAAGGCCUUGUUUGUUUGACAGGUGGUUGUGCUGUAAUCUCCGUUGUUUUAGAAAAGGAGACACUUCCCCUCAAAAAAAAAAGGAGACACUUGCACAGCUUCAGCGAACCGAAGCCCUUGCAGUUUUUACAAAAAAAACAGGUCCAAAUGCAAGAACACACGCACCCACCCACACACUAGUAGCAGGUUCGGUACAAACCCCUCGGGGUCCAUGGCACUAGGCCGAAAGAAACCAACUGAGCUAGGACUAGAAAAGCAGCAAAAAGCAGCAAGAAACACCACCAUCAAUCGUCAUUGAGCUCCUCCCUGAUGGCGUGUGCAGGGAGUUGCAAUAGCAGCGGCAUCCCGAUUCUUACCGAGGAAUUUCCAAAGCUGUUAAAAUAUACUCCCUCCGUUCCUAAAUAUAAGAUCUUCUAGAGAUUCCGCUAUAGACUACAUACAAAGCAAGAUCAUUGAAUCUAUACUUUAAAAUAUGUUUAUAUAAUAUCCGAAUAUAGUCCGCUAGUGAAACCCCUAAAAUGUCUUAUAUUUCGAAACGAAGGAAGUAGGCAUUUUGUAAAGCGCAUCAGCCAGAUGUUUUUCAAUAAGAGCUUUGUUACAAAUCUGCCCAAAAGACCAAGCCAUGGCAGCAAAAGCAAUCCGCGCCUCGCGGAAGGCCCCAAGCUUAAAUUGUGAAAAUUGACAAACGAAGUUGGUGCCCAAUUGCACUUAGCAAUAUCUUCCCAGGCCCAUGUCUAUUUUGGACCUGCACUGCCGAAGGAAGACGUUCACACACAAGUUGCCAUUUUUUUUAAUCUUUGUUGGAAUCUUGGCUUCCCAAAUAUCCAUGACCUGCUACCCAUUGAUGCAAAACUAAAUAUAAAGAACUCGGGACCCUUGCUCAACCCUCCAAAGUCUUCAAUGACGGCCAUCCCGUGCAACGACAUCGACCUGCAGCAUGCCCUGCAUAAUUUUGGUGGGCAGACAGUUAUCUUCCCCAUCCGCUACCUCGGCAUUUCAAUCAUGCUUGGUAGAACCAGGCUCGUGCAUCUCUAAUUCAUUUUAGAUAGGACCAGAGCUAGGCUACCUGGCUGGAAGGGGCGCCUCUUACCAAUAUCGGGGAGACGGGUGCUUGUCAGGUGCGUGCUCUCGGCGCUCCGUGCUUUCGCGCUCGUCCUGCUGCGCACUGAUGUCUACUACGCAACCUUCUCCUUGUAGACGUUGUUGGGCCUCCAAGCGCAGAGGUUUGUAGGACAGUAGCAAUUUUCCCUCAAGUGGGUGACCUAAGUUUUGUCAAUCCGUGUGAGGCGUAGGAUGAAGAUGGUCUCUCUCAAGCAACCCUGUAACCAAAUAACAAAGAGUCUCUUGUGUCCCCAACACACCCAAUACAAUGGUAAAUUGUAUAGGUGCACUAGUUCGACGAAGAGAUGGUGAUACAAGUGCAAUAAGGAUGGUAGAUAUAGGUUUUUGUAAUCUGAAAUUACAAAAACAGCAAGGUAACUAGUAACAAAAGUGAGCACGAACGGUAAUGCAAUGCGUGGAAACAAGGCCUAGGGUUCAUACUUUCUCUAGUGAAGUUCUCUCAACAAUGAUAACAUAAUUGGAUCAUAUAACUAGCCCUCAACAUGCAACAAAGAGUCACUCCAAAGUCACUAAUAGCGAAGAACAAACGAAGAGAUUAUUGUCGGGUACGAAACCACCACAAAGUUAUUCUUUCUGAUCGAUCUAUUCAAGAGUCCGUAGUAAAAUAGCACGAAGCUAUUCUUUCCGUUCAAUCUUUCAUAGAGUUCGUACUAGAAUAACACCUUAAGAUACUUAUCAACCAAGACCCUCAUGUCACCUAGACACUCCAUUGUCACCUCAAGUAUCCGUGGAUAUGAUUAUACGAUAUGCAUCACACAAUCUCAGAAUCAUCUAUUCAACCAACACAUAGAACUUCAAAGAGUGCCCCAAAGUUUCUACCAGAGAGUCAAAACGUGUGCCAACCCCUGUGCAUAGGUUCCCAGUGUCACGAACCCGCAAGUUGAUCACCAAAACAUACAUCAAGUACUCACAUGAAUCCACGUGUGCCAACCCAUAUGCAUAGGUUCCCAAUGUCACGAACCCGCAAGUUGAUCACAACAGAUAGACACGUGCAAGACAUACAUCAAGUGUUCUCAAAGACUCAAUCCGAUAAGAUAACUCCAAAGGGGAAACUCAAUUCAUUACAAGAAGGGAGAGGGGGAAGAACAUCAUAAGAUCCAACUAUAGUAGCAAAGCCCAUGGUACAUCGAGAUCAAGACAUCUCAAGAACACGAGAGAGAGAGAUCAAACACAUAGCUACUGGUACAUACCCUCAGCCCCGAGGGAGAACUACUCCCUCCUCGUCAUGGAGAUCGCCGGGAUGAUGAAGAUGGCCACCGGAGAUGGAUUCCCCCUCCGGCAGGGUGCCGGAACGGGCUCCAGAUUGGUUUUUUGGUGGCUACACAGGCUUGCGGCGGCGAAACUCCCGAUCUAGGUUUCUUUCUGGGGGUUUCUGAAUUAAUAGAAAUUUAUGGCGGUGGAAUUGCGUCAGUUGGACCAACGAGGAGGUCACAAGCCUGCAUGGUGCGGCCUAGGGGGUGGCCGCGGCGUUAGGUCUUGUGACUCCCUCAUGGCUCUUCUAGCCUUCUUCCAAAGCUUCGGGGGUCUCUUUUGGUCCAAAAAAAUCAUUGUAAAGUUUCAUUCCAUUUGGAUCCCGUCUGAAAAAGGGUCAAAACACGGAAAAAACAGAAACUCGCACUUGGCACUGAGUUAAUAGGUUAGUCUCAAAAAAGAUAUAAAAUAGCAUAUUCAUGCAUAUAAAACACUCAAAGUUGACAAGAUAAUAGCAUGGAACCAUAAAAAAAUAUAGAUACGUUGGAGACGUAUCAUGCACCCCGCGAAAAUUCCUCAAGAAGGUCGAAAAGGCGCGUAGAAAGUUCUUAUGGCACAGGAUGAUAAGCUCUCUGGAGGCAAAUGCAAAGUCAGCUGGUAGGUCGUCGCGUCGCCGAUGAGCUGUGACGGGCUCGGCAUCCCCGAUCUUGAGCGCUUCACCCGAGCGCUCCGACUGCGCUGGCUUUGGCUUGUCUAGAAGCACUCGGACAGGCCCUGUGUUUGGCUAGGCACGCCAUGCGACGACAAGGAUCGCGCGCUCUUCGCCUCGGCCACGACAGUCACCAUUCAGAACGCGCGAGUCGACACUUUUUUGGCGAGCAACCUCUUUGCCUGGAGUACCCGGACCUGUUCAACCACUCGUCGCGGAAGAACAGGACAGUCAAAGCUGCGCUGCAUGGUGACAAGUGGACCCAAGACCUACGACAUGUCAGCCUCAACAAUAUCCUGCCGCAGUUCAUGCUCUUGCUGCGUGCAAUCCGGAUGCGCACAUCGUUUUCGAGGAGGGAACACCCGAUGAGAUCAAAUGGACUGCUGGAGGGGGGGGGGGGGACUACUCGGCGCGCUCGGCUGAUGACAUGCAAUUCUCCCACCGCCCCCAGACUGAUCACAAAACUCUCAUCUGGAGGUCCUGGGCAUCAGGGAAGAUGAAGAUGUUGUGUUGGAUGAUACAUCACAAUUGGCUUUGAUGCAAUGACAGACUGCAACGACGGGGAUGGGAGAACCGGUACUUCUGCGCGCUCUGCAAUAGAAAUCUUGAGUCCUCCCUUAACCUCUUUUGGGAAUGCUCUUUUGCCAAGGCAAUCUGGUCCCAGGCGGCGACAUGGAAGGGGUGCAGCGCUUUGCGGCCUGACGGGGGCGUGUCGGGGUGCACGACCAUGCAGAUCAUCAAGGGCAAGCUGAUUGGAGCAGCGCUGUGGACAUACAAGGGGCUGCGGUCCAUUCGGAUCGCGAUGCCUUGGCACAUUUGGUUAGAAAGAAAUGGGUGCACUUUCCAUGGACACAUACCAUGCGCUCGGCGAGUGAUCGAUCGAGUUCGUAGCGAUCUGAAGCAAUGGCGUCUGGCCGGAGCAAAAUGCACAACGACCCCUUUUGGGAUCCAACGUGAGAAAUUAGUUCGUCAGCCUUGUUUUGAUGGGAGCACCAGUCUGUUGGUGAAUCCGCGGCCCUAUCAUGAUGACCUCGUCGGAUUAUUUCUUGUAUUCUUCUUGUGCUAAGUCAAUGAAAAGACAGUUGCAAGAUGGAUUUAAAAAAAAUAUAUAAAAAACUCAUAGAGAACUAUAUGGACGGUUCAAGCUUUCAAAGGAACUGUGCCGACCUCGUUAGAAAGAUGAUCAUUUUGUAACAGGACCGCAAGUCUCACCCACUCCUCACAUUUGAUUGGGUCAAGAGAGCAGAAUGAACUGGCUGUGAUGAAAAAUCGAUCAUGCUGUGAGUAACUCUUACGGAUAAAAUGCGUCGAUCUGUUGGAGUUAGCGAGACACCUAACAUGAGGAGAAGGGGCGGUUGAUGAGGUGGGAGGGUGAAUCGAUGGACCGGAGGGAGCGAGCGGAAUUUCCGUCGUUGAAUCGUACGCUUCAGAAAUAAAAUGAACAAAUCUGAUCUAAACACACAAUAAAUUUACAAAAUGAACUGUUUUUCAAAAAAAUCCACUCGCGUAACCCUUUUGUGUGGCGCCUAACAGCAAGGCGCCACACUAUACUGUAUGACAUUUUUGUCUUAGGCGUCAUACAAUGUAGUUAACGUCUUUGUCUUAGACGUCACACCAGGUCUCAGACGUCAUACAACAUAAUGUUAGAUGUCAUACAAUGUCGUGUGAGUUUUAAGACAAAGACGCCAUAUUUUUUUUUCCGAAGAUGAUUCAUUUUGUAAAUUUGUUGCAUGUGUACGUAGAUUUGUUCGUUUUACCCGACUCAGGUAAGAAAAACGCUUGCGCCGCGGACAAGACUAGUCACGCGAGUACAUGCAUGCGGGAAAUGUUUUACGAUUUUUUUAAAACUACUCCCUCCGUUCUUAAAUAUAAGUCUUUUAAGAUAUUUCAUUAAAAGUUUACAUACGGAACAAAAUGAAUGAAUCUAUACUCUAAGGUAUGUCUAUAUACAUCCAUAUAUAGUCCAUUUGUGGAACCUCUUUAAAGACUUAUAUUUAGGAACGGAGGGAGUAUAUUCUAUGAUUUGUUAUUUAAUUUUUUUUUCUCCGAUUGGGGUUGGUAGUUGGUACUAUUGGAAAGAAAAGAAAAGAAAAGAAACUCCCCUCUGUUCCCCUCCCCAGGCUCCGCUCUCGUUCUCUCAGGUCCCAAACAGCGCCUGAAACCCUAGCUCGUUCGGCCGCAAUCAGAAGAGGGAUCCGCUCACAUGGCUGGCCAGCGUAACCGUAACCGCAUCCGCCGUCAGCGCGCCAAGGCUAGGUUGGUUUCGGAGGUUGAGGCGGAGGCGGAGGCGGAGGGGGCGGCGAGGGUGCCAGAGGUCGACGGGGAGGUUGUAACUGCUGCCGAUCGCGUCGUCCAGCGCAAAAUCCCUCUCUCCAAGUUGAGCCAAUCGGCAACCAAAGAGGAGCUGCGGCGGCGGAGCCUGAUUGGCCAGAUCCGCGGCCACUACCUCGACGCCAUCUCCCGCCUGCCCACCACCGAGCUCGCCACCACCCUGGCGCGCGGCCUCCUCAUCGCCGGUCACUGCUACGGCCCUCUGCACCCCGUCCACAACAUCAUCGUCAACUCCGUCUGGCACUCGGCCGCUUUCCCCAUGCGCGCCAGCGACCGGAUCGAUGCCCCCGUCAUCAGCUGCAGGACCAUAAGCCGCCUGGUUCAGCGCUCGCUUGAUGGAUUGGUCGCCUCACUUCGCCAUCUCUGCCCCGGCCUCUCCGAUGACGAUGCCCUUUGGCACCUCAGCCUCUCCCGCGCCGACCUCCGUGCCGCCGUUGCCUCCGCACGUGGGUUCCGUCUGACGGCGUCGGAGCUGGAAGCCGCCUUUGAAGCGGCUGCCAAGGCGGCGGGACAUGUGAAACCUGUGGCCCUUGCGCUCUUCGCUUCGUCCGUUCUACUUUCUGUGGAGCGUGAUGUUGUCUCACUGCUCAACAACAAACGCCGGCUUUCCUCGGCUGACAUUCUGUGCCUCUCCACUACGCUGCUGCCUUCCCCGCUACCAGAUGAAUUGCCAGACCCUCCUCUAGAAGAGCGGUUCACGGCGGCAUUUAAGCUAAUCGCUAGAAAAAGGAGCCAUCUCACAAGAUGGUAUACUGAAUGGGUUGAAAUAGCGGACACAGCGUUGCGCAAGUAUGCCCGGCAAACUGCGGAGCAUUACCUGCUUCAUAUCAUCUAUGGCUAUGGUGCCCUGCGGGAUGAAUUUCAUAUGGUGAGAUCUUACCAUAUCAAUUUCAUGGCGUGGCCAAAGAAUCCUUGUGCUAGAGAAGCUCCGGUGUUUUUCUUUGCUAAAGCACUUCUUCCGUCUGUCUCCGGCUUUUGUGAAGAGGACAUCACCUUGUGCUGUACAGUACAACCGUCACCUGUUGAAGUUGGUAUGAUCUUGACCUCCAAUCAAUUUUGUUUUUCCAGUACUGAAAUUAUUAGGUGCUAGUCAUUUGGUCAUUUGGUAUUUGAAACACAAGUAAGGUCUUAUCACUAGCCCCUUCAUUCACUAGCUUAUUGGGGGGUUUGUUUGCCUGUGGCGUACAUGAUAGCUAAACUGAAAGUGAAUAGGUUGCCUGACCCUCCUGCCCAAUGUUGCAUAUAAAUUUGCAGAUCAGUUGCCUCUGGUCUAGCAAAAUCUUGUUAUGUUCACUUGUUUUUAUCCUUCAAUGAAUCAUCUUCCUGAUCCUGCAUCUGCAAUAAUGCUGAUAGUUACCAUAAGCUCAUUGACUUCAUUCAGUGUUUAGUGGGGAUCUAUCUGGCUGGUAUGUACUCCCUCCGUUCCAUAACUAUUCUCGUGGUAGGUAAACUGAAAACCUGUAUUAGUUGCAGCCAUGAAUGGGUUGCCUGCUCCUGCUGCAGACGGUUGCAUUUUAACUUCCAUACCAGUUUGCCUCUGGCCUAGCAGACAUACUCUUGACAUGUUCACAAUCUUUUGCCUUUUCAAAUUCCUUCAGUGAAUAAUUUUUCUGAUCCUGCAUCUACCAACUGCAGAUAGAUGCCAUACAUGUCUUGCUGAAAACUUUCAAAUUGACCACCCGGAUGAUUCCAAGAACUUUGGUGGUGGACAGUACUACCAUAUGGACGGAAUAGGCGAAGACCUGGACUGCCCCAUCAUGACUGAUGUUGACUAUAGAUGUUUUGACCCUGUCAGAGACAUUGGUUUCGUCGAGUGCUUGAAUCAAGAUUUUGUCAAUUACAUGUCAUCUUCGCCCUGGCAUCGCCGCUAUAAAAAACAGAUAGAUUUAGCUAUCUCGGAUUAUUGCACUGGGAUUAUUUGAUCCGUUAUGGUUGCCUUUUGUUGCUCUUCUACAUUGCCGUUAGCUAUCAAUGAUGCCAUUACAGCUGAAGCAUGUGUUCUCUUGAAUGGGCUUAUUCUAGCGAGACAAAGUUGAAUGCAAUAGAAUUAUGGUCAAAUCUGAUUGCACGGAGGUCGUCAAUGUAAUGUAGCAAGUGGGGAAUUCAAUUGGUCUGGCGGAGGCAAUAUGAGGAAUGCUCUUUCUUAUGUCGUAAUUAUGAUCAAAUUAGUUUCAGGCUGGCCAUAGUGGGGGUAACAUAAGCAGUAUGGUAUACUUGGAACUAUAAAAAAUGCUGAUGUGACACCAAAUUAAAGAAGAGAAAGAAGGUGGUAGUAUCAUAGGUAGAUACCGUAACAAAGCACAUGCUACAAGAAAAAAAUAAUGCAACCUGAUUCCGUGCGAGCUGCGCGUCGUUGCUAUCCCCGGGCUUCUUUCUUCUCCAGAACUUCUCCUCCCCCACUAUCCCACCUCCAUCCCCAUCCCUGAAGUCAGCUCUUCAUCCCUCCCACCGGGCGACGGCACCACCCAUCAUGGCGAGAUCUGGCGCCAGCAAGGAGAUGACCCCGGUCCGGCCGUCAGCAACCUCGCAGCUGCAGCAGUUCCCCGGCGCCCCGAUGAGCUCCUGUUCCAAUCCUUCUCCACCUCCACACUUUUACCAUGGUGCUCUCGCGAGCUCCUCCGCCACCCCCUCUACGCCGCCGCACUUCUACCCCGGUGCCUCGACGUGCUCGUCGGCAAAGCCCUCUUUGAGUCAAUGGUACAUGCUCUUCCUGGUUUUGCUAGAUAAGUAUAACAAAAUUAUUGGGAGAGAGGCAAUUGAUACAUGCCCUGUGUAUGUGGGUUUCUAGCCAACUGAUUUUUUUUCAGGCAAGUCAUAACAGAUUUUGCUUCAGGUUUCAUGGUUUCAGGUUUCAGGUUUCAUGGCAGAUUUUGCCCUGUGCAAUUGAUACAUGCCCUGUGCAAUUAGUUGUUUCAGGUUUUGCCCUGUGUAAUUGAUACCGAUUUUGCUUCAGGUUCCAUGAUUUCAGGUUUCAUAACAGAUUUCAUGGCAGAUUUUGCUGCUAAGAAAUCAGUUACAAAUAGAGGCUAGUAAAUAGAUUUUGCAUGAUAUGCUUACCUUGUAUUUUGCUUCAGAUUGCUGCUAAGAAAUAAGUUAGCAUGUGAAUAAUUUGGUUUCAGAUUUUCAUGAUAUGCUUACCUUGUAUUUUGCUUCAGAUUGCUGCUAAGAAAUAAGUUAGCUUGUGAAUAAUUUGGUUUCAGAUUUUCAUGAUAUGCUUACCUUGUAUUUUUCUUCAGAUUGUCAUGAUCUUCCAAAGUUGCUAUUAUUUCACUUUACAUUUUACCUCCAUUGUCAGAUGUUUUACUCAUGAAUUAUGAUACGUGUAUUAGGAGGCCAUGGUAUACCCCUGCACCUGAAGGUUUGCUUAGGUUUGGACGAUUGCCGCCAAUGCAUCCGUAUAAUUUCCAACAACCGUCAAUGCGCUAUCAUGAAACAGGAGACCAAAUGAUGGAGAAUCAGCACUUUGCUGGUACUUCCCCACAUGAUUCGUUCUCAACACCACCACCGCCGCCGCACCCUAAAGCUGCAUCUCAGUCUGGUCCUGCCAAAGUGAAUUCAAAGUCUUCCAAAAGGAAAAGGAAGAUCAUCAAUAUUGAUGCUGAUGAGGAACCAAGCGAAAUGACCGCAUAUCGUCUGUCCUAUACACCCGAGAAACAUGAACGAUUGGUAGUGUCAAUAUUACUUGCUCAAAUAUUUUCUAUAUGAUUUAAAUUCGUGUAGCUUGUUAGGCUAAACUAAAUUAAAUGUUCACAAUGUAGGCAAGUGCUUGGUUGGAGUGUUCUACUGAUCUCAUUGAUGGGAAUGGUAAGAAGAGUGAGAAGUUCUUAGCUGACACGUCUCGUAUGGAUGAUUCUGCAAAAGCUGGGUGGGCUAAAGCUUUGAAGAGUAUGGAAUCUACGCUAUUUCCUGAAGGAGAUUUAGGUAUGAGCAAAAUUUACUUUAUAAACAGAAGUUACAGAAUAGUUAGACCUCACCUCAAGUUUUUUACUUUGAUUUUCCGUAGUACUCCCUCUAUACCGUAAUAUAGGUCGCUNNNNNNNNNNNNNNNNNNNNNNNNNNNNNNNNNNNNNNNNNNNNNNNNNNNNNNNNNNNNNNNNNNNNNNNNNNNNNNNNNNNNNNNNNNNNNNNNNNNNNNNNNNNNNNNNNNNNNNNNNNNNNNNNNNNNNNNNNNNNNNNNNNNNNNNNNNNNNNNNNNNNNNNNNNNNNNNNNNNNNNNNNNNAGCGACCUAUAUUACGGUACAGAGGGAGUAGAUGACUCAUCGAUUCAGCUACUGACUACUUUGUUUGUCUAAUUUUGACAAGGUGAUUCAGGGGAAUAGCAAUAGAGCAUACGAGAGCAUCCUACAUGAUGGUUUGCCUAAGAACCUGGUGUUUGUUACCUCGGUCAGAUAUGUUAAUUGUGUGAACCUGAUGGUUUGUUGUCUCGGUCAGUUACUUUUUUUUUGUACUGUGUGAACGUGAUGAUACUGUGUGAACGUGAUGGUUUGGUGUGCCAGCCAGCUAUUAUAAUUUGCAUGUCAAUUAUGUGGACGUGAUGCUUUGGUUUCUCUGUCAGUUUCCCAUUUUUUUGUACAGUGGGUGAAGCUGAAUCGUUUCAGUUUCUGGUUUCACAUGAAUCGUUUGAGUGGACUGUGAUAUAUAUACAGGCUAUGCCAUCUCCUUUCCUCACUCCUUCACGGUUCUCCACUUCUUCCCCUCUUCUACAAGAUGGCGAGCAAUCAACAAGCUGAUGCUUCGGAUGGUGAACCAGUCGACAUGGAAGCUGAAGCAACCAUCAUCGAUCCUUCCUCCCUGUACACACUGGAUGACUACCUUCUCCAUAAGGACAUGCUAGACUCCUCCAAGGAGAUCGCAAUGGAAGUGAAGGAAAGCCUGGAAGAUCAAGCAGAAGUGGCCACGUGAAGAAGCCGCUGAGCAGUUGGUACGAGACUAUUUCUGUGAUAAUCCUCUCUAUUCCAGCAAAGUAUUUCGUAGAAGAUUCCGGAUGAGAAGACCCCUCUUCGAGCGUAUCGUUCAUGCACUAGGCGAGUGGUCUCCGAAGUUCACACAAAGGAAAGAUGCUCUUGACCGCGAUGGACUCUCUCCAUUGCAGAAAUGCACAUCGGCUAUUCGCCAACUGGCGUAUAGUACUACGACAGAUGCUCUCGGUGAGUACCUUAAGAUUGUCGAGUGCACUUCGAUUAAGUGCUUACAGCUGUUUGUCGAAGGCGUGAUUCAUAUAUUCAGUGAUGAAUAUUUGUGAAGACAAAAUGCCGACGAUGUGCAGCGUUUACUUGAUAUUGGAGAGAGGCGUAGGUUUCCUGGCAUGUGCGGAAGCCUCGACUGUAUGCACUGGCGUUGGAAGAAAUGUCCCACGUCAUGGAGGGGACAAUUCACCAGCGGGUAUAAAGGCGGUCCUUCUCUUAUUCUUGAGACGGUUGCUUCUCAGGAUUUCUGGAUAUGGCAUGUUUUUUUUGAUGUUGCCGGAUCCAGCAAUGACAUUAACGUGCUUAAUCAAUCGAUAUUGUUCAUUGAGCAACUAAAAGGGCAAGCUCCUUGAGGGAACUAUAGUGUCAAUGAGAAGGAAUAUCAACUUGGUUAUUACCUUGUAGAUGGAAUAUACCCCGAGUGAGCAGCAUUCGUGAAGUCUAUACCGACGGCUCAAACAGCAAAGCACAAAUUGUUCGCUGAACAUCAAGAAGGAGCAAGGAAGGACAUGGAACACGCAUUUGGUGUGCUCCAAGCACGAUGGUCUAUUUUACGGCGUUCGACACGUCUAUAUGACCAGGGAGAUCUCCAUCAUGUGAUGUUAGCUUGCAUCAUUAUGCACAACAUGAUAGUCGAGGAUGAGAAAGAAGAGGCAUACAAUAUUGUUGAUUUGAAUGAGGAAGCAGGCUCAUCGAUUGUCCUUCCAUCCGUAUUUACUCACGGUGACAUGCCAGAAUUUGCUGAGGUACUUGAAAGAGAUGCUAGAAUUCGUGAUAGUCCGUCGCAUAGGGCUCUGAAAAAUGAUUUGAUUGAGCAUAUUUGAAAAAAAAAAUUGGGCGACGGUUGAUUACUUUUGAGUCUUGAUCCAUGUAAUGCUCAAUAUGGUUUAUAUAUUUUAUAAAAAAUUGGCACUUUAUUAUUUAUUAUGGAUCCAUUCAAUUUUAUGGCUAUGUAUUUAUCCAUGUGCACCUUCAUACAAUAUUUUAUAUCGAUACUUGCCAUAAAUAGAUCACAAAGUUGAAGUAGUACUGUAAAUCCCACAAAACAAUAAAUGAAACACACUAUGUUAUCAUACUUAUGAUACUAUCCACUAUAAAGAUAGUAACAAAAACUAGUAUAUACGAGUAGGAUACUAGUCUUUGUUACUCUCCACUAUGACCAGCCUCAAGCAUCUUUCUAGGGAAGCGAAAGGGCAACUGAUGUUUUAUCUGACCAUGUGGAAUGUGGAUCCACUUGAAACUGCCGCCGACUCGCCACAAAAGGCCUCCCCUCUGUCUGGCUCCUUUGGACCAUCUUUGGAUCUCGUCGUCUAGCGCAAAAUCUCUCUCCAAGUUGACCCAAUGGACACCCAAAGAGGAACCGCGGUGCCUGAAUGUCUAGAUUCGUUGCCACUAUCGCCGGUCUCUGCUAUGACCCUCUACAAACCCGUCCACGACAUCAUCGUCAAUUCCGUCUGGUAUUCUGCCGCUAUUCCCAGCAACCGGUCUUUGGACAUAUGUGGGCAGUUUGAAAUACCCUAAGCUAGUUCAGUUGGCGGCAGGUUUAAGGGUGCAACAUGAGGUAUUGAGUUUGAUCCGCAUCCACACGCACUUCUUUUUGCUCCUAGGAAGUUCAUGGCUUGCAGCCUACGAGAGAAAUUUCCUGGCCAAGUGACUUAAGAAAUUUAUUUACAUGUGGAAGGACAAAAUUUUAGUACCACCUUAGACUUAGACUUAGAUAUGUACGAAAGAAAAUAAUUCUGGAUAUUGAAGAAACGGUUUUGCUAGAACACAUGUAGAUGUAAAAUAAGUAUUGCACAUCUAAGUUUUAUACCAUUAAUCUUGCAUGGAGAUUCGUGUGGGUAUUUUUUUCAUUAAUCUUGCAUGGAGAUUCGUGUGGGUAUUUUUUUUUAUGAUUGAUUUAGUUAUUUAUAAAUGUGGAAUAACUAUGUCACAUCAAGAUGUGUCAUAUCAUACCCUUAGAGAAACGGGCCUUCCUUUAUUUUUGUCAUCAUGUAUAAAUGUCAGCCAAUCAGGAGACUCCGCUAUGUUGAUUUAGGCCACCAAAUUAUAAGAUUAUUAGCCAAUUGUUAUACCGCAGAAAAUCACUGCACUGAAACACCCUUUCUCUUAGGCACAUACACCCGCGCAAAGUACAUGUAAGCAAACAUGCCUAGAGCACUGAGCACGGUGAGAAGCCUGUAAAAAUAAUCGAGGUGCCCUCGGUUCAGGUUGUUGGAGAACCAGCUUCCCCCGUCGCUAGUGGUCAUCCUGUCAAUGGCAUACACGACGAAGCUACUGAUGAAGUUCCCGGCUCCGGCUAUGCUCAGGAACAGAGCCAGGCCCAAGCUGCGCAAACCGUGGGGCACCUGGUCAUAGAAGAACUCCUGCAAGCCAACAAUGGCGAACGUGUCGGACAGCCCGAUCAGCAGGUACUGGGGGACCAUCCACAGCACGCUCAUGGGGAUGGUAACUUCAGGUUUAUCCAGCAGGCCAUGGUCCGUUGCCACCCGGAGCCUCCUCGUCUCCACAAGAGCGGCAACGACCAUCAUGACGACCGAAAUCGCCAACCCGACGCCGAUCCUUUGUGGCGGCGUGAUGCCGGAAGGGUUCUUCGUGUGCUUCCGGGCAAGCGGAACGACGACCCGCUCGUAGAUCGGCAGGAAGAUCAUGAGGGCCGCGUUUAUCAGGUUCUGCAGGGAGGCAGCUGGUACCACCAGGGUGCCAAUUCUCCUGUCCAGUGUGCUUGCCUGCUUGGUGAAGAAAGUGAACGAUUGCGAGAGGACGACGGCGUAGAUCAGGCAUGAUGCCCAUAUGGGGAACAGCUUGAGCAAUGCGGUGGCUCCAUGACCCCCCUUCGGCGGCUCCGGCAAAUUCUCGGAAUCAUCGGGCAAUCUGCAUGCCGAGAAAGAUGAUAUGCAAAUAAGGUUUCAAAGUUUCAGAAGAGUGGACUACCCUUAACAGGAGCUCUUCAGAUUUCAGAACCAGCGGGAUUACUUGUUAGCACUUCGUAACGGAUGGAAGCGGUACGUCUUGGUUCCUUGGCAGAAGACGGCUAGAGCGAGGGCCAUGGCGGCGCACGGGAUCGCGAACCCGAGCUGCCAGCUUACGCUCUCCUGCACGUAGUUCAGCACGGACACGGUGAUGGUGUUGCCUCCGUAGGAGGCGAAGUACCACCAGUUGAAGAAGGAGCUCCUGGAGGCCAGCUCGUCGGGGUCGUUCUCGUCGAACUGGUCGGCGCCGAACGCCUGGACGCACGGCUUGUGGCCGCCUUGGGCAAACGCCACCAGGUAGAGGGAGAAGAAGAAGAGAGCCACCUGCGCCGACGAGCUCGUGGAGCAUCCGGCUGAAUCGACCGGCUUGCCGGCGCACCCUGGUCGCUCUCCCGGCGCGAGCACCGUUGAUAGGGUGAGCAUGGCUAGCCCCUGCAGGACAGCCGAGGAGCCAGACUGAUGAUGGUGCACAGUGCAAGUAACGUGAGGCUGUGAGCCAAAGCAUGCUUUGCCGUCGUACCAGGAUGUAGAGGAGGGACGCGCAGAUGACGGUGCGGUAGCGACCAAGCCAGGAGUCGGCCACGGCGGAGCCGAGCAGCGGCAGCAGCAUGGCGGCAGCGAGCCACGCGUUGACGGCCGACGCGGCGGCCGCCGUGGACUGCCCCAGAGGGCCGGUGAGGUAGAUCAUCAGGUUGCCCAUGAUGCCGCAGAAGGCGAACCGCUCCGCGACCUCCACCCCUACGCCCGGGAAAAACCAUACAUGUUCAGACUUCAGAGUCACAGAUAAGGGCGAGGAUGUGCUGCUACACUCAUGUCUCUGUCCGAGGCGCACCGAUGAUGAAGAGCGCGGCCGGCCACCCACCGGAGCUGUCGCGGCAGGCGGGGCGGCCGAGGUGGUCGACGGCGGACAGCGGCGGCGGCUCCGCCCGCGGGAGGAGCGUCUCCGCCUCCGCCUCCGCCUCCAUUGCCUGCUCCUUUCCCCUUGCCGCCUACCUGUUGCCCAAUUUUCUACUCUGCCAACAGCUACCACAUCACUGAUUACCUGCUCCUCCAUUAUCAAAACAGAUAGAAUAAUCAGCAAAAGCAUAUGAUAGAGUUAGUUGGAAAUUUCUGUUUAAGAUGCUGGAAUCCCGUGGUUUUGGGGCUAAGUGGAUCUCUUGGAUUAAAUGCCCGCUAUUACAGAGCACCUUCAGUGUGCGGAUCAAUGAUACUACUGGUCCUUACUUUGUUGGAGCUAAAGGUCUUAAACAAGGUGAUCCUAUCUCCCCUGUACUAUUCAAUCUGGUUGCUGAUGUAUUUUCCAAAAUGCUUAUUAAAGCUUCCUCGUGUGGAUUGAUCUCGGGCCUAUUAGAUAAUAUCAUUCCCGGGGGAGUUGUUAGUCUCCAAUAUGCAGAUGAUACUCUCCUCUUUUUAGAGGAUUCUUAUGAUAAAGCUAGAAACUUUAAAUGGAUCUUGUCCUGUUUUGAAAAUUUGUCGGGAAUGAAAAUCAAUUUUCAUAAAAGUGAUCUUAUUACUAUUAACGUGGCUGAGGAUAGAGCUAGGGUUUUUGUCCAGAUUUUCUGUUGUAAUUUGGGAUCUUUUCCUAUUAAAUACCUGGGAGUCCCUUUGCAUUAUGAUAAGUUGAGGAAAGAGGACCUCCAACCUUUGAUUGACAGAAUUAUUAAAGGUAUAUCUGGCUGGUUAGGUAGAUACUUAACAUACAGAGGUAAGAUUAUCCUGUUGUGUGCUUGUAUUGUGAGUAUUCCAGCCUACCUUAUGGCAGUCAUGAAAUUUCCAAAAUGGGCUAUUAAAGCUAUUAACUCCCAGAUGUCUCACUUCUUAUGGGGAAACAUGGGGGAACAACACAAGUAUCACCUAGCCCAUUGGGGCCUGGUUUCUAGAAGGAAAGAGUUUGGUGGUUUGGGGAUACCCAACAUUAGGGAAUUUAAUAUGGCCUUGUUAGCUUCAUGGGGGAAGAGAUUUUUUAAUGAUAUGGACAGUGACUGGAAAAAGAUCCUGAGAUAUAAAUACAAUGUGGCUAACCCAAACAUACUUUGGUCUAGGCAGCAAGGAGGCUCUCCCUUUUGGAAGAGUGUAACUUGGGCUUUGAAUGCCACUAAAACCUUAUAUAGAUGGAAGAUUGGUAAUGGUGAUCAUAUUAGUUUUUGGCAUGACAUUUGGGCUGGAAAUUGUUCUUUGAAAGUCAGAUUUUGGAACCUAUUUGACAUUUGUAAUCAACAAGAUUGUACAGUAUCUCAGGUUUGGAAUGGGACAUCUCUUAGAUUGUCUUUUAGAAGGUGUGUAGACAAUAAUGGUAUGGAUGAAUGGAAUAAUCUCACUGACUUUAUUAAAUUUUUUUGCAUAACUAAUGUGCAUGAUACACCAAUCUGGGAGCUGGAAUCCAAUGGGAUCUACUCUGUACGUUCCUUCUACAGGUUUAUAAACUUUGGUGGUGUGGUUUCUCCUUUUGGAGAUAGCUUGUGGAAAACUUUAUGCCCUCAGAAUAUUCAUGUGUUCCUUUGGCUAUGUUUGUAUAAUAAAAUCUUAACAAGAGACAAUGUGGCUAAAAGGAAACACCUUGAUGAUCUGACUUGUUUGUUUUGCAAUGAACCAGAGUCCAUACAACACAUUUUCUUUGAGUGCAUUAAUGUUGAUGUUAUUUGGACAACUAUAGCUGAUUUUUUUCAUUGCAGUAGGAUGCUUUGUUUUCAUGAUAUAGCUUCCCUUUGGAAGCUGAAUAAGAAGGAAAAAUUGCUCAAUAUGACUAUUGCUGCCUCCUUGUGGAGUGUUUGGACAUUAAGAAAUGAAUUUUGCUUCCAGGGGCGCACUUGGAGAGGUCUAGGCUGCAUCCUUGUCAAGUUAAGAGGGAUUUUGCAACAAUGGUCGGCUCUCUGUGACGCUGCUCAAGUGACUAUCCUGAAGAAUUUCCUCGCAGUGCUGGACAGGCGUCGGGAAGAGCUUCUGAGGAUCGCCUGGAGUAGGGAUCGGAACUAGUUCUUCUUCUGGUCUGUAAUAUAUAAGAGUUGUUUCGAUGGCUUAAAAGUGUAACUGGGUGAUGAGUUCUUAUCUCCUUUUAGAUUAAAAAGGUGAUAGGAGGAUGAUUUUUCAGGCUUGGAGGACGUAUCGUUUAGAUGCGGUGUUGUUUUCUACUGUGCUCCGCUUCAAUAAAAUGGGGCGUGGGGGGGGGGGGGGCCCCCUUUCUUAAAAAAAAAAAGAAUAAUCAGCAAACAUUCUAGACAAAACGUGUAAAGCGCCAAAGUCACGGUGGGUACAGCACCGUACCCCACGCAACUAUCUGAGGCUCUUCGGUCAUCCAGUCGACCAGGAGGAAACGGCAGAUCCUACUCCUGCCUGUGAACCUCCACUGCAAGCACUGAGUGCAAUGUCUGCAUUUACAAGUACCACUUCACUGAAGACAGUGAACACAGCACAUCGACGCGUUAAGACAGCGCCGUGCAGUUGCACACACCUUGUAAAUUUUUCGUUUUAGGUACACACCUUAUAAAUUGAUUUCACAGCCGCUUAGUACAACACAGUUGGGCUUGCAAAGUGGCGGAGCCACACUAUGGCUGUGUAGUCAAUUGACUACACAACUUUUGAUCAAAACCUUCUAAAUAUACAAGUAAAAUUUGUCCAUAAGUUCACAAAUACCGUAAGAUUUAGAGAGGAAUUAUAGUUGACAUCAUAGGUUUAUUAUUCUGGCACCGCCACUAUGCAAACCCGACAUCUCACCUCAGGACAUUGGCGCAUAGGGAAAACCAGCAGACUCGUUGAAUCCAGAAAUGUGGUUGUUGAGGGAUCUAGCGCCGAUCUUGAUCGUUCGCUUCAGCUUACGAUGGUGACUUUAACUAUUUACGAAGUAUGGCCUAUAUGUAAAACUGCCUAAAACAAGCUUCAGCACAUCUUGCAGAUUCAUGAAUUUCAGGCGUCUCAGUUGACAGUCACUUCGCAUACCAUCAUCCUGCUGGGAUGCCCUUUUUCUUGGGGACAUAAACUUGUGAAAAGUGGAGGUAAGCAGCCAGCCCGAGAACGCUGAGCGCAGCCAGAAGCCAGUAAAAGUAAUCCAGAUGGCCUCGAUUUAGAUUGUCCGAGAACCAACUAUCUCCACCGUCACUGGUUACCCGGUCGAUCGCAUACACCAGAAAGCUACUGAUGAAGCUCCCAAUCCCAAAUAUGCUCAAGUACAAGGCAAGGCCCAAACUGCGCAGACUGUCCGGCACUUGGUCGUAGAAGAACUCUUGCAAGCCGACCAUCGUGAACAUGUCCGCCAAGCCAGUCAGGAUGAACUGAGGUACCACCCACCAAAAGCUCAUAGGAAUUGUCGCUUCAGGUUUGUCCACUAGGCCAUGUUCUCUCGCUAUCCUGAGCCUUCUCAUCUCCACGAGGGCCGCGACAACCAUCAAGAUCACCGAGAUGACUAGUCCAGUUCCAAUCCUUUGCAAGGUUGUGAUACCACAAGGGUUCUUCGAGUAUUUUCUGGCUAGCGGAACAAGUAUCCAAUCAUAUAUAGGAAUCGAGAUGACAAUUGACACGCUGAUAAGGCUUUGUAGCGCAGCAGCUGGUACCUCUAGGCUACCUAUCCGUCUAUCUAGUGUACUUGCUUGUUUAGUGAACAGCGUCAUCCACUGGGCAAAAACAACUGCAUAGAUCAGGCAUGUUGCCCCUAUUGGAAACAACUUAAGCACAGACUUGGCUUCAUCAGGGAAACAUGUCAUUCCUAUAAUAUCCUUGACACUGCUGGACGAUGGUGUUGGCAUGCGGUGAGAAUCAUCAGAUGACCUGCCAAACAAAUACAUAGUGUGCGCACACACGCAAACAGAGAACAUAUGAAGUUAGUGUUUCUGAAGAAUGACUCCAUCAAACUUUCAGAACUUAGAAUGAGCUUACCCCGAACUCCAUGAUUCAUGCCAGGUUCUAAUCGAUGAUAAAAUGUGUUUGACAACCUGUCCAAUUAGGCUUCCAUCACUUCUUACAGGAUAAAAGCGAUAAGUCCUGGUCCCAAGCCAGAAAACUGCAAGAGAAAGAGACAUAACGAUGCAAGGGAUUCCAAACCCAAAUUGCCAGCUUAUGUUAUCUUGAAUGUAAUUCAAGAUUGAAACUGUAACAACACUGCCUCCAUACGUCCCAAAAUACCACCAAUUGAAGAAGGAACUUCUCGAGGCAGAUUCUUCAGGAUCGUUCUCAUCAAAUUGGUCUGCCCCAAAUGCUUGCACACAAGGUUUGUGACCACCUUGAGCAAAGGCCACAACAUACAGGGACACGUAGAAGAAAGCUAAAUGAAUCAUCGAAGUCGAGGAUACAGAGGAAUCGACGUGGUCUCUGAAUUGUGCUGGUUGUUGUGGCGCAAGAAUUGAUGAUAGUGUGAGCAUGCCCAGGCCCUGGAUGCAAUUUAGUGAAAGAAGUACUUAAGCACAGUGAUGCAUAGUGUGUCAAUUCAAUUAUUUUCGAUGCAGAUUGAAAAGAAAGAAAGAAAAAUUGCAGCUUAUAUACAUGCAGGACAAAAGUCGUCAAGUAGGUAGGACGAUGCCGAAGUAUUGCACACACACAAAAAUAUUAGCUGAAUUAAUCGCUGAAAUCCUUUUACUUCAAACCUCAACAUGCCACACAUGCAUCUUUGGAUGUAUCUUGCAUAGUUUGGUCAUUACUAAAAGAGAAAUUUUAGUACUUGUAUCAAGAUUCAUUGAAGCCAGGACCAAGUUUUAUAUGAUGUAUUUCGGUAAUCAAAAUCCAAUGCAGAGUCUAGCAGUUGGUUGGAGUUCAGGAACUAGUAGUAAGCAAAACAUAUCUUAUAUAGGGUAGCACAGUCCUGCCUGAACUUGCAAUCAACUGAUAAAAAAUAAUGUCACAGUUAAUACAAGGGUUUAAUGCAGUGGGAUCCUCAAAGUUGAACCCAAAACACUGACUGAGAAGGCUAAAUGAAGUCCAGUACUCCAUCAAGGGCUCGCUAGAAUAUAAACCUAUGCUUCCUAAUAUUAUACACAGAUUCUUCAAGGGGGUGUAGAGUCCGAAGGGAUCCAUUCUUGUACCAAGUACUCCAGUCCAAUUUGCGCGCUUUAUUUGCUCUCGAAGCUAUGUAUUGUAUGGUAUCUUACUGAAAUCGGAGCUACUCCCUUUUAUAAAAAUACAGUACAUAACACCAACUUGAUAGAAAACGAAAAUGUAUCACUAACUAAUGCCUAGGAGGCUGAGAACUCAGAAUUCAUGGAUAUUGAUGUACAACCUCCGUCCGGAAUUAACUGUCGCUGAAAUGAGUGUAUCUAAACGCGUUUCAGUGUGUAGAUACACUCAUUUCAGCAUCAGUUAAUUCUGGACGGUGGGAGUACAAUACAGGGCAAGGUCCGACUUCCAAUUGCUAAAGUCAGUAAAGAGUGUAGUUUUAACUUGCAGAUUUGAACCAAUCCGAAAAUACGAGUAGCUGUUAGAUGUUCAGAAUCAAGGUAGCAGUUGGGUAGCCUAGAUUCAGACUGCAUGCUACUACUCGCUACGAGCAAGCAAGACCAGAACAGCAUGGCGUAGUACUUACCAGGAUAUAGAGUAGGGAGGCGCAUACUACAGUGCGGUAACGGCCGAGCCAGGAAUCGGCGACGGCGGCUCCGAGCAGCGGCAGCAGAAGCGCGACGCCGCUCCAGGCGUUGAUGGCCGCGGCUGCUGACGCCGUGGACUGCCCUAGCGGGCCGGUGAGGUAGGUGAUGAGGUUCCCUGAGAUGCCGCCGUAGGCGAACCGCUCUGAGAUCUCAACCCCUGCGGUACCGACGACACGCGGGUCAAAGAGGAUCGAGCGAGUCUACGGCGGAUUGCCUUGCCGUUGCCGUGCUGUACCGAUGAUGAAGAGCGCGGCGGGCCACCGGCCGGAGGUUUGGCGCGAGACCGGACGGCCGAGGUGGUCCACGGUGGUUGCCGGUUUCGGCAGCAGGGGCUCCGCCGCGGCGUCCAUGGGCGCCCACUUGUUCCCUUCCUCUACAGUAGUCUCGCUCAAGAAACGGGAAAAAAAGUCUCGCUCGUGUCUCGACUCAAGAUAAGUAACUGUGCUAUAAAAAUCUUGAAUUCAACCAUGUAGCGGCGCCGGAUGCUGUUGCCAUACCUAGCCAAACGGGGCCGACCCGGCACGGCCCGACCUGCCAAUAAUCGUGCCAGGCACGGCACGACCCGUCUGGGCCCGAUUACGGGCCGUGCCUAAUCGGGCCGGCCCGUAACACGUUUAGGUCCGCGGCAAUUAAUAUACGGGUCGUGCCUAAUCGGGCCGGCCCGUAACACGUUUAGGUCCGCGACACGCUAAUCAUCCGUCAUGAAAAAAAGCUGAAAAAAACUCCAGCCCGUGUCUCGUCUUCCGUGCCUCCCGCCCGCUCCCGCCUGUGAAAUCUCCCGCGUCUCCCUCAAAUCUCCCGCGUCUCCCGCCCCCCCCCCGCCUGUGAAAUAUCGCUGGUCGCUGACUCGCUCGCUCUCGCGCCUCCUAAUCGUGCCGUGUCGGGCUGGCACGCGGGCUGGGGGUGGCGGCCCAGGCACGGCCCAUGGCGUGCUCGUGCCUAGCCCGGACACGAUUAGGCCGUGCCGGCCCGGGCCCGUCUCGUGCGUGGUCUGCGGGCAGCCGUGCCGGCCCGUCAGGCACGACCCGUUUGGUCAAGUAUGGUUGGUGCUUUCAUGCGGCGGCUCACAUGCACAUGUAUCUAAAAUAGACGUAAAGAUUCUCUUCAAUGCUUGAAAUUUAAAUUUUUUUAUCUUUAAAACCGUUAAUUCAAUCGAUGAUCUGUUUUCACUGUUGGCUUUGUCGUGACAAGAUCUCCAAAACUAGAUCCCAUGUCGACAUGUUUCGACAAACUUUUUUUCCUUCCGUAAUUGCCACAUUGUUUCACUCACUUGCUAUAUUAGUAACCACUUACUUGCCCAAUAAAUAACUUAAUUGCGAUUUUUUAUGUUGUUUCGUGUAAAGAUUGUCGAUGCUUAUAAAUGCAGUCCUCAAAAUGUUUUGAUGUGCUUGUCAUUUUUAUUCUACUAAGUUGUCAUGUGGUCUCACAAAGCUUGUAGGUGCUUAUAAAAUCACAGUUGCCACAUAUAUUUUUUGUGCUUGUCAUUUUAAUCCUACCUCGUUAUCAUAUUGUCUCAUACAACUUGUGAGUCAUUGUAAAAAAAAUAGUCGUCACGGUGUUUGUUGUAUUUAUCUGUUGAAUUCUAUCAUCGAUUGUUAUGUUGUGUCUAAAUAAAAGGACAUUUGAUUGUUCUGAAACGUAGUUGUGGUAGUGUUUUGUUGUGUCGGUCAGUUAAAUUCUACUCAAAUCUUAUAUAAGCUUGUCAUUUGUCAUAAACACUAUAGUUGUCGUAUUAUUUUGCAACGCUUGCCACUUAAACUAUAACUAGUGGCCAGUUAUUUUAUAAGGUUCAUGCACCCCACCACCUCAUUACCACGAGUAUUCUAUGUAGUGAAGAAAAAUAAACCAAACAUGCAUGUUAUAUGCUUUGUCAUAUAAAAAGAUAGACCAUGCAUACAUGCAUGCUACAAGCUUGUGCCUAGUACUCGGCAUGCAUGCAUUUCCCAGAAGCAAAAAAAAUAAACCACGCAUGCACGACAGCGAGAGAUCAUCCAUCUCCUCUCGGUCAAGCUCCUAUGCAUAGCUAGCUACAGACCCUCCUAAACGGCUCACACCCCCGCGCAUCAUCGGACGGACGCGAAGCCGCCGCACCCGAAGACAGGGGUGCGUACUGUAUAACUUAGAUUUUUCCCAAAAAUCUUUAUGAAAGCUAUGAUUAGUAGGUUUUUCCUAUUAGCAAUAGAAAUGAUUUUCCUCAAACCAGACAUCAAGAACAUAUACAUUCUUGAGAGUGUUGUGCUGGCCCAUGAGGUUAAAAAGUCUGUGUCUUCGGUCAAUUCCAACGCGCGAUCCCAUCCUAUCUGCAUGCGUUCAUUUAGAUCAAAACGGACAGGUGACACGGCCCAACGUGCAGCCGCAUCAUCAAAUUAUGUCCGUUUGGUGUUCGGCCCAUCCCAUUUCCGACGCAAACAUGCGAUCGGUUUGCGUUCACGUGGAUGCUGAACGGACGACCACGCGCUUGCGGGUCGUCCGCCUCGGGACGCGUGGCGGCUGCCCAACUACUUCCACCGCCCAAUUUAAAUGCGCACGUGCGGCGGGCCCCGGCCGUCAGUCACACAGCACGCAAUCGUCGUCCUUCUUAAAUUGGAAGCCGUGGACCGGCCAGUCCACAACUUCCAGUUCCCCACCGGCUGCCUCCUAAAACCCCGACAAGCAAACCCUAGCCCUCCCCCUCUCCGCCCCUCUCCGUCAGUGACAAUGGUGGGGCGAUGGUUCCACGGCCGCAAGACGAGGGACGAGCACGAGGCCGACUCGUCGUCCAAUCGCGGUCGCCGCUCCCACACCCCACCUCCACCUCUCCCGCCCGCCUUCCAUAUCGCGUCGGGCGACACCCAACCUCGUCGACGACCGUACGUCAAGGCGGAGGUGUGCCGGCGGUACUGGAAGACACGCUACGCUGUUGCCGUGGGGCGACGCGCACCUCCCAAACAACUCGCACCUUUCCCCGAACUACGUGCAUGUCCUGCCGGUGCUGGUGAGCGUUCGCCCGUCGGGAGGAGAUCCAUCGUCGUCGCGCCCGCGUGCCCUCGGACCUCAUCCACGACUGGAGAUACGCCGUGGACUCGCCGCUCUGGGAUAGGUGGCUCUGCGAGGAGCACGACGUCCGACGACGGUCCUAUUUUGCAGGCCGUCCGGCAAGCCUGCGUCUCAUGCGCGCUGACCGCCGCACGCCCACUCCUAGCGUGCCCAGGUGCGCGGUCGCACGCAGGUUCGCGGCCUUACCCCAUCGACGUCGCCAUCUCCCUCCCCACCCCCCGAGCCAAUGUCGAUCGCCGAGCAGGAGGAGCUCGAGACGAUGGUGUUGGAGGAGUCCCUCCACACCCACGACGAGCGCCAAUGGGAGGGCCUCGAGCAGAUGCUGGCCCUCUCUGCGGCCGGCGACGUUGCCUUCCCCGAGCUCGACGCAUACGUGAAGGAGUAGGUGCGGCCAGAGGUGGCGAUUGAGGAGGCGACGGGAUGGAACCCGACAUUGGUCGGGCAGUCCUGGACGUGGAUGGAGACCGUGUCGUGCACGCCCGAGGGGGACGCCGACCACUAGUCACCAUCCCCGCCACGCGAAGAGGUGGUGCACGCGCCACCGCAACCGGCACAGCAGGCGGCUCCGCCAGCCCACCUCUGGCAGCCACCUCCAUACGUUGACCUCACCGGCGACGAGGACGACGACGAGAAGUAGACGGCGGCCAGAGUAGGCAACGACUGCCAGGGCGGCGGCGACGACCCUUUCUAUUUUUUUUUAUUAUCUUGUUUAUAUUAAUGUCGAACUUAGGUAAUGUGGACGUUUUAAUGCACAUGUUUAAUAUUUUUAGGUUGUUUUAAUGUUUAAUUUAGGGUUCGGGGGUUUAUUUUCAAGUCCAAACAAACGGACCGUUUGGGGUGCAGUCGACCCGGUGGGUGCACCGAGAUGGAUGUGUCCAUUUUCCUGCCCCAAACGGACGAAAAGCGGACGAAUCAGACGUCCAUUUGAGGUCGCGCGUUGGAGUUGCCCUCAAGGGAUUCCGCUUAAAUUGGAGUAUGAAAAAGCCUAUGAUAAAAUAGGCUGGGAUUUUCUCUUUAAAAUGCUUAAUUUUAGAGACUUUGGACAAAAAUGAAUUUCCUGGAUUAAACAAACUAUCCUACAAAGUAUUUUUAAUGUAGGAUUAAUGAUACUAUUGGCCCGUACUCCAUGGGGAAAUGGUCUCAAACAAAUGGAACCCCUCUCUCCUCGACUUUAAUGUUCAUUAAAGCUUCAAAACAUGGGCUGAUUUGUGGGCUCCUUCCCAUGCUACUUUUGAUGGUGUGAUUAGUUCAUAAUAUGCGGAUGACACACUUCUUUUUCUGAACGACUCAUGUGACAAAGCUAGAAAUUUCAAAUGGAUUCUUUUUUGUUUUGAAAAUCUCUCUGGAAUGAAAAUUGUUUUUCAUAAAAGUGAUUUCUUGACCAUUAAUAUUAAGAAGGGGAGAUCUAAGAUCUUUGCAAAAAUCUUCUCUUGCAAAUUGGGAUCUUUUCCCAUCAAGUAUUUAGGAGUGCCUCUGUACUAUGAUAAAUUAAGGACAGAGGAUUUAUAGCCUAUCAUCAAUAGGAUUGUUACAAAUAUAUCUGCUUGAUUAGGUAGAUACCUUACAUGCAGAGGGAAGUUGAUCUUGCUUUGUGGUUGCAUAGUCAGCAUUCCUGCUUACUUAAUGGCUAUGGUAAAAUUUCUCAAGUGGGAAAUUAAUGCCAUCAAUUCACAUAUGGCCCAUUUCUUUUCAGGUAAUAUAGAUGAUUAACAUAAAUACCAUUUGGCCAAUACGGGUCUAGUUACUAAGAAGAAGAAAAAUAGUGGCCUUGGAGUUCCUAAUUUGAGAGAUUUUAAUAUGGCUCUUUUGGCCUCUUGGGGUAAACGUUUCUUUGAGACUAAUGAUAAUGAGUGAACAAAAAUAGUUGCCUAUAAAUACAAUGUGCACUCACCAAAUAUUUUGUGGGUCAAACAAGGUGUUUGUUCCCCCUUCUGGAAGAGUGUGACAUGGGCUCUGCAUGCUUCAAAAACUUUUUUAUACUUGGAAGAUUGAGAAGGGCGAGAAUUUCAACUUUUGACAUGACACAUGGGUUGUGAUUGUUCCAUGGAAACUAUGUUUUGGAAUUCAUUUGAUAUUUGUAAUCAACAUGAUUGCUCGGUUGCCCAGCUGUGGGAUGACAUUACUUUGGAACUCUCUUUUACGCGAUGUGCAGUUUAGGGGGGGGNGGGGGGUGGGUGGGUGCGGAGAUGGUUAUAGAUGAUUGAACACAUGAUGAAGUUCCCUCUAUCUACCUCACGUGACCCUGCCCGUCUGGGUGUUGGAAUCUAAAGGAAAAUAUUUCGUCAAAUCUGUAUAUAAUACCAUUAACUUUGGAGGUGUGGUUUGUUCUAUUGGAGAUGACCUUUGAAAAGUUCUUUGCCCUCAAAAUAUACAUGUUUUCAUGUGGCUUUGUGUAUAUAAUAAAGCGCUGACUAGAGAUAAUUUGGUUAAAAGAAGACAAGUAGGUGACAUAUCAUGUUCAUUCUGCAAUGAAAAUGAGUCCAUUCAACAUCUUUUUUUGGAUGUGUGGUAGCCAAGUGCAUUUGGUCCCUAGUUUCAGAUUUUUUCAAUCUUCAAACAAUGACAUGUUUUGAUGAUGUUUGUGUUGUUUGGCCUUUGCAUAAAAGUAAACUUGCACUUAACCUGGUGGUUGAUGCAUCCUUGUGGAGUAUAUGGAGACUGAGAAACGAUUUCUAUUUUCACGGAUGCUCAUGGAAAUGUUUGAACCGUGUUCUACUCAAGCUGAGGGGUGUCCUUCAUCGUUGGAUGGCACUCUGCGACAACACACAUGCGGAGCUCCUACGACGUUGUAUCUUACUGAUGGACAAGCAUCAUGGGGAACUUCUUCUAAUAUCCUGGAGAUGAUCUCUGCCCCAUGGUGCUUGCAUACAAAAACUUACUAAGAUCUUAGCGCAUGAAUGUAAUAAUAUGAGUAUUUAACAAAAAGCUAUCACAGUUGGGGGUUCGAUUCCACAGAACUACCACUUUCAAUAUGUCAACAAAAAAUUACCACUUUCGGAUAGUGUCCGAUUUAAACAUGUUUAUGACAGGCGAGACCCACUUGUCAGCAUUGGCAUGGCAGGAAAGUCAAGUAGACAAUACUUAAAAAUAGAAAAUUUGUUCAAUCGACUUGCAAGUCAAAAUAUCUUAUCAUCUGCUCCAGAUUGGCGCAUUGCACAAGUAGACAAUGGAUUAAAAACAAUUAAGUGUUCAAUCGGCCUGCACCCCAAAAUAUCUUAUCAUCUAUGUGUUGAUAAUUUGGAAAUAUAAAUAGAAGGACCUAGAUUGGCACAAGUAGACGCUGGAUUAAAAACAGUAGAGUGUUCAAUCGGUCCGCACAUCAAAAUAUAUUAUCAAACAGUAGAGUAUGUGUUGUUAAUUUGAAAAUAUAAAUAGAAGGAUCCAGAUUGGCACAUCGACGUACACAGCACAAGUAGACGAUGCUGGUAUUUCUUUGCUUGACUUGCUACCAGCCGGUGCGGUCAUUUUGAACAUCAUCUUUUUUGUAGAUAAGUAAUAGGAGGAUGUGCACUCAUGAAGCUGACCACGAAAUAACUAUUCGUGAGAUCGGCGGAGCACCUAAUCAAUCCAUCGGUCUCACAUUCUCAUGAGGAAUUGUCCUGGGCAUCUAGGCAUAGAUCAGCUCUAUAAAUUUGCACCCUUAACCCACAUCCAUUUCCAACAGCCAACACACUUACGGUUCAGCUCAACAACCAGCCACACAUCUCCUGUAGCUACUAUACCCUAGCCAGCCAUGGUAAACCCUAGCUAUUUUACUAGCGCUCCGGUUACCCAAGAGAUCCACCAGAAUGAGCUCAACUUCCACUUGUACAUGUAUCAGUGGGUCGAAGGGUCAGCACAGGUUAAUGAGAAACAAGUGGUGAAUAUAGCGCAUCCCACGGGGUUUGGAGCCAUUUACGCCAAUGACUGGACCAUGUAUGAUGGUCCUGGUCCCAAUGCGAACCUUGUCGCACGUGCUCAGGGCGUGCAUACCGGUAGUGACAUGAACCUAGGGGACUCAUGGCUUGUCUGUCUCAACAUUGUAUUCGUCGAUCAAAGGUUUGACUCACUUCAAUCCUCCAGUUAGGGUGGUUUUCGUAUGUGUUCCAUUUGAAGAUUUCAAAAUUUUCAAUUGUUUCAUUGUGAUCUAUCAUGUAUAUAUCUUUCGACAUUUGGUCUAGGUUUCGGGGGUCUACCCUGAAGGUGGUCGGAAACUAUGGAGGACUGCCUGUAGAUGAAUGGGCAAUCGUCGGUGGGACCGGAGAGUUUGGAUUUGCACAUGGUGUUGGCACCUUCAGAAAAUAUAAGGAGAUGGGCAAUGGGAACAUGAGGGAGUUCAAUAUUCGUGUUCGCUGCCCCACUUUGCAAAUACCACCGGUGAGUUGAAGGGCAUACUCCUGCUAGCUUACUAUCUUUCUUAUAAUUUGGAAAUAUCCAAAUUUACGUAUCAGCGUUUGUAAGAUAACCGCGCUACUGCAUCACACAGGUGCCGACUCCUCCCAACGACAAGGAGGGGCCGUUGGGUGGCAAAGGAGGGGAAGCUUUUGACAUCCUAGGUCAUCCUCAACGCCUGGAGAGUGUGACAAUUCGAAGUGGCGACAUCAUUGAUUCACUUGCGUUCUCCUACAUAGACCAAGCUGGGAAGAAGCAAACCGCUGGUCCAUGGGGUGGUAAUGGCGGGCUCGAGGAAACGGUGAGUGGAUACCAGAUCACAUUACAUCAUUCCAAUGUCAUUUACACGUUUUUUCGGUUUGCAUUUUGAAAUCUCUCUCUUACACCCACUUUGUUAGUGUGCGCCUUUCCCGCGAGGCAAGGCAAAACAAAAUCUGCAAAUAUAUAUAUAAACUUGUAACACGCGAACCUACAUAUAUAUGCUCUCUUCUAUCUAUUUAUACGAACAAACAUGUGUUUACUUGGUGAUGCCAUUUCGUCUGCAGAUCACGUUUGCUCCUACAGAGACUCUGAAGAAAGUUUUUGGAGUAGUCGGUACCAUUGGAGGACACACUGUCGUUACCUCGCUUACCUUUGUCACCAAUAUUAAGAUAUAUCCAACUUUCGGAAAAGGAACAGGAGGUACUACUUUCAGCAUACCCGAGAAGAACGCUAGUGUUGUGGGCUUCUUUGGUCGCGCUGGAUCAUAUGUCGACGCAAUUGGUGUUUACAUCGCAAAUUAGGACAAGUUCCUUUUCCGAAGAAUAUAAUCGUGGGUCUAGGUGAAGCCUCCCACUUUCAUUUCAACUAUUCCACAAAUAAAAUGGACACACGUUGUCAUCACCACAUGUAUACUUCUAUUGUUUUCCUUUUGAGACUUUGAGUUCGUACUUUCGUUGUAAUCAAACAUUUUCUUCAAUAUAUAAGUGUGCUCCCCUUUCGCUCAAUCAGCUGAGUGUUCUCAAGUCUCUAAGAAAACAGAGGCUUGAUUUUUCCAAUUAAAAUCAGAUUGAUUGAAGGAAGCAUCAUAUACCAUCCGCUGAAGUUAAGGAAUCAUCAAGGGUUGUAUCACUUUUGUUUUCUUCAAACCCAAAACACCAUUUGGAUUACAAGUGUGGGAUUGAAUCCCGGCCAUCUUUACAAUUAGUCUACACAAUUUAAGGAAGAUUCAAUUCUGAAAAUAAAGAAAAAUAAUGGUGUCCUCUCACAGGGUGCUUGGAUACGUUUUAGUUCCAUGACUAAAAGUAGUGGGACUAAAACUUGCUAGCCUCAACCAUGCUUGUAUCCAAAUACUAAAGAGGCUAAAAUCAAGUUAAUGAGCAUUUAUUAUCCUCCAAACCCUUCAAUCUAGAACUCGUCUGUGUCAAAAGAGAGGAGUUAAAUGAGGAGAGAGAGGACUAAUCCACAUUUUAGUAGGGGUACCCCUGACUAAAAGAUUUUAAUCUCAAGACUAGUUUUAGCCUUUCUUUAGUCAGGGGUGUUUGGAACUUUAGCCUCUUAAAAAAAUUACUUUUAGUCAGACUAAAAUAAGUCCCUUGAAUCCAAGCACCAUCUCAAUCUCUCUUCAUAAUUGGUACGGGAAAGGGAGGCUCCUCUCAGCCAUAAGAUUUGUGGCCGUCCGAUGCAAUGCUCUUGCCGAUCAUGCCCAUUCGUUGUUGCCUUCUGUUUCGCUCAUUCACUGCCGUUUAGUCGAACAGCUAGAAAACCCAGGUUCCUACCUAUGAUUCUCUGAACUCACAGUUGAGUACUAAGAGGGUGCUUGAAUACGUUUUAGUCCCAUGACUAAAAGUAGUGGGACUAAAACUUGCUAACCUCAACCAUGCUUGGAUCUAAAUACUAAAGAGACUAAAAUCAAGUUAAUGAGCAUUUAUUAUCCUCCAAACCCUCCAAUUCAGAACUUGCACGUGUUAAAGGAGAAGAGUUAAAUGAGAAGAGAGGACUAAUCCAUAUUUUAGUAGGGGUAUCCCUGACUAAAUUUUUUUAGUCUCAAGACUAGUUUUAGCCCAUCUUUAGUCAGGGGUGUUUGGAAUUUUAGCCUCUUAAAAAGACUAUUUUUAGUUAGACUAAAAUAAGUCCCUUGGAUCCAAGCACCCUUUGAGCUUAGCAUUUACCACUGUACUGAACAGAAGAGUUGAUACACCAUUUUAACGUAUUUACAGAGCACCGUGCGACAUUGAAGAAACUGUAUUUUCAAAAGUUCCAAUGCAAAAACUCGUUGUAUACUGCACACCUCAGAAAUCGAAUCGACAGACGCUUAGUACAACAAUUGGGAGAAACUUCAUGAACCGAAUGCAAACCGACAUCUCAACUCAGGACAUUGAUGAACUUCCCAGCAGAAAUUCUCAUUUGAUCCGGCAGUGUGAUUGUUGAGGGAUCUAGCACCGAUCUUGUUCGGCCGGCUGAAGCAGCAGCGUCCAAGCAGGCCCGAUCAUCCGCCUCAGCUUACGGUGGUGACUUUACCUAUUUACGAAGAAUGUCCUAUAUGUACGACAGCCUAAAGCAAAGCUUCAGCCCAUCUUCCAGAUCCAUGGACUUUGAAAAGGCUAUGGGCGGUAACCCAUGGACUUCAGGCAUCUCAGCUGCCAGUCAUUGUUCGGAAAUGCCCUUCUUCUUGUGGAUAUACACUUGUGAAAAGUAAAGAAAAGCAGCCAGCCCAAGAACGCUGAGCACGGCCAGAAGCCAGUAGAAGUAAUCGAGAUGGCCUCGGUUUAGAUUGUCCGAGAACCAACUAUCUCCGCCGUUGCUGGUUACCCAGUCAAUCGCAUACACCAGAAUGCUACUGCCGAAGCUCCCGGCCCCGAAUAUGCUCAGGUAUAAGGCAAGGCCCAUACUGCGCAGAUCCUCCGGCACUUGGUCGUAGAAGAAUUCUUGCAAGCCCACCACUGUGAACAUGUCCGCCAGGCCGGUCAGGACGAACUGAGGUACCACCCACCAAAAGCUCAUCGGAAUCGUUGCUUCAGGUUUGUCCACUAGGCCAUAUUCUCUCGCUACCCUGAGCCUUCUCAUCUCCACGAGGGCCGCGACAACCAUCAAGAUCACUGAGAUGGCUAGUCCGGUUCCAAUCCUUUGCAAGGGUGUGAUACCACAGGGGUUCUUUGAGUACUUUCUGGCUAGCGGAACGAGUAUCUGGUCAUAUAUAGGAAUUGAGAUGACGAUUGACACGCUGAUCAGGCUUUGUAGGGCAGCAGCUGGUAUCUGUAGGCUACCUAUCCACCUAUCUAGUGUACUUGCUUGUUUAGUGAACAGCGUCAUCCACUGGGCAAAAACAACUGCAUAGAUUAGGCAGGUUGCCCCUAUCGGAAACAACUUAAGCACUGACUUGGCUUCAUCAGGGAAACAUGUCAUUUCUGCAUUAUCCUUGGCUUCCCUGGAUGUCGAUGUUGGCAUGCAGUGAGAAUCAUCAGGCGAUCUGCCAAUCAAAAACACAGUGCACACACACACACACCAAACAGAGAACAUAUAUAGUCAGCAUUUCGAACUCCAUGAUGUGUGAUACAAAGUUUCAGAAGUUAGAAUAAUCUUACCUCCCACACCAUGAUGCAUGCCAGGUCCUAAUUAAUGAUAAAAGGUAUUUGCGAAUCUGUCCCAAUAAACUUCCGUCACUUCUUACAGGGUAAAAGCGGUAAGUCCUGGUCCCAAGCCAGAAAACUGCAAGAGAAAGAGACAUGACGACACAAGGGAUUCCAAACCCAUACUGCCAGCUUAUGUUAUCUUGAAUGUAAUUCAAGAUUGAAACUGUAACAAGAGUGCCUCCAUAAGUCCCAAAAUACCACCAGUUGAAGAAGGAACUCCUCGAGGCAUAUUCUUGAGGGUCGUUCUCAUCAAAUUGGUCUGCCCCAAAUGCUUGCACACAAGGUUUGUGCCCACCUUGAGCAAAGGCCACCAUAUACAGGGAGAUGUAGAAGAAGGGUAAAUGAGCAGCCGAAGUCGAGUAUAGAGCGGAAUCCAUGCGGUCUCCAAAUUUUGCUGGUAGUUGUGUCGCAAGAAUUGAUGACAGUGUGAGCAUGCCCAGGCCCUGGAUGGCGGAUUUAAUUGAGUGAAAGAAGUAUUUUAGCACAGUGAUGCAUAGUGUGUGAAUUAAAUAAUUUUCCAAGUAGACUACAAAAAGGGGAAAUUUUCCAGGCUAUUACAUGGAGGAAAAAAAUCGUCAAGCAGCUAGUAUGAUGCCUGAGCAAGUAUUGCAGGAUUUUUCUUUGAGUAAGAAUAGUAGGUUUGCCUACUGCAUGUAUUUUUAUACUUUUAAAAUAUCCAAAAUUUACAGGAUAUAUAGAGGGAAAAGAAAGGGAGAAGAUCCUAGUUUAAGUCCCAAGGCUUCUAAAAACACAGAUUACAAAAGACUUCAACCCAAAAUUGAGGACCUGAAAGGGAUUUCUUCUUGGCUCUAUGUACUAACAGGGAUAUUUCUGCUUUGAACUUGGACCUUCAUCUGUAAAGGAUUGGUGAAAUUCCGUUGAAAGCAAAGUAGUUAGUAGUCUAGAUUGCACAACUGACCAACAUGAUGAUUUCCAUGGGCAAUGGUAGCUGAACUAUCUGCCUUAGGUCUGCAAUUAUGAUCUGAUUAUCCAUAUUUUGAGGAGUCCCUUCUGUCAAUGAAUUUGUGAAAACGUUUGAUCCGUAGAAAAUCAUUUUGCACCCUCAGGUUCAGGACACCUAGUCCUCCUUGGCUUUUUGGCUCACAAACAAGAUCCCAGGCAGCAAGAGGUUGAUAUUUCUUUGGGAGAUGCUUAUUCCUCCAUAAGCAAUGUCUAUGUACUUAUCCAGCGCAUCAAUAACCCACUGGUAGAGUUUUUUAGGGAGCUGAGAUAAAAUAUAGGUAGAGAUGAAAGCACAGAGUUCACAACUCGAAGUCUACUUCCAUAGCUUAGAUGGUGAGCACAACUAAGGAGCCUCUUUUGGGCUCUGCAAAUAAUAGGAGGCAUAAGAACUACUUCUGGGUUUGGUGGUGCUCAAGGGGAGGCCAAGGUAAUUGAGUGGCAAGGAUCCUUGCUGACAUUGUAGGGCUUCAUUAAAUAGGUGCACCCUGUCACCAGAUAUAUUGAUGGGAAUGAGAUUGGAUUUGGCAUAAUUAACUCGGUCAAGUUGCCGGAAAAAAAAUUCUAGUACAGAAAUUCCUAAGGAAUUCUGGUUCCAUAAACUUUUUCUUAGCUUCCUGGAAACAAAAGCAAAGCCUUUCAGUCCCAAAUAAUGGAGCAAUCACACUCCUAAAUAUUAUUGUAAAUAUGCAUCCAUUAACCACAGCAAUUCAGACCUCCAAUGUUCCAAUUUAAGAUAUUCCAAUGCUAUUUGGCCAUGGGCGGAAAGGAGGAGGUACUAAACCACCCAAAUCGUACGCUGGGGAUCAGGAAAAAACGUGCUGGAUCAAUAAAGUGGAGGCUUGAGAGACACCAAGCCAGCUCAAUGAUGGCAGGUAAGAAAAAGAGCAACAUAAAGGAAGCCAGGCCAUGAGAGAGUUCUUCAUGCCACUUAUUAUAUCACUGGGGAAUCCAGUACAAAGAUAAAAGGCCAUACACCAAAAACAAGAUUUGCUAGAGACUGGUAACAACAUAGUCUGAACUUGAUCAUGAGCUCUGCACUUUAUUACUUCUUGGAAAUCUUCUCAGCUGGUUAAUUAACAGCUUUUUAGGAGGCCUUCUACUACUUUGCUUGUAAUUCCAAAACUAAUAAUUCCAACUUUUUCCCUGCAUUUUAUCACUUCUUAGAUUUCUUCUUAGCUGAUUCAUCGACACCCUUCUUGGAGGCCUUCUUCUUGCUUGUUUGCGAAGCAGGCUUAUCUUCACCUUCAGUCUUUGACAUCCCAAAUCUGUUGCAAAGAUUCUGCAAUACCUUGCUCUUCAGGUGGGGUGCAUAUGAUGCAACACGAGCUAGAUAAUUUCUGUCAAAACAAGUUUUAGGUUUAUACCCCUGAACCAGAGCUUUGAUUCUGUCACUUGUUCUAACUUCUGAAAUCACAGGAGGGGUUUUUCCUUGUCUCCUUUGAAGGUGAAGUACAGAAGUGGUAUAGUGGGAUAUUUCUUCCACAGAAAGAUGCCUGGGAGCCUCUGGAGUAGAGAAGCUACAGCCGUGAGUUGCUUGACAGGUCAAGGAGAGGCUACAGCCCUGAGUUGCUGGGUUAUUUAGCUGAAUUGUUCGCUGAAAUAUGUAUCUUCUGGUGUACUUAUAUUGCAUAAUUCGGUUAUUACUAAAACAGGGACGUUAGUACUUGUACCCAGAUCCACUGAAGCAAGGGCCGAGUUUUGUACAAUGUAGUUUGGAAAUCAAAAUCCACUCCAAAGUUCAACAGUCAGUUGGAUUUCAGGAAGUACGUAGUAAAAAAAGCGUAUCUUCGAUUGUGUAUUUUACAGAAGGGCAAUAGUCCUACCUGAAUUUGCAAUCAACAGAUAAAAAUGUCGUGCCACGGUUAACGCAAUGGGUUAUCGGAGUCGGAUCAUCACCGCUGACUGCAAAAAGACAGACAUAAAGGCUAAAUGAACUCCAGAACUCCAUCAAGGGCUGACUCCACAGACCACAAGAUCCCCACUCUCAGUAACACGCUCGCUAGAAUGUGCUCCUAUGUUUUCUGAGAUUAUGCACGAAUUCUUAGUAACAUAGGACUUACAUGUGCGAUACUUAUGGCACGUCUAGAUGUGCUUUAGCAAAACUGAUUCUAUAUAUGGCAAAUUAGCAUCGACAAAAAGGUUCGACUUACAAUUGGCAAAGUCAAUGUCAACUACGAGUAGUAUAGCUUUAACUUUCCAGAUUUUAAACAAUCCAAAAGUACAGGUAGCAGGUGCUCGACAUCAGUUAGCAGCAUGCGAUGACCCAGACUGCAUGCUACUCGCUGCGACCACGUGAGAGCAGAGCGGCACGGCGUACAUACCAGGAUGUAGAGCAGAGAGGCGCAGACUACGGUGCGGUAACGGCCGAGCCAGGAAUCGGCGACGGCGGCCACGCCGAGCAGCGGCAGCAGGAGCGCGACGCCGCUCCACGCGUUGAUGGUCGCGGCGGCGGACGCCGUGGACUGCCCCAGCGGGCCGGUGAGGUAGGUGAUGAGGUUCCCUGAGAUGCCGGUGUAGGCGAACCGCUCCGAGAUCUCCACGCCUGCGAUACCGACGGCAAGCGGGUCAAAGAGGAUCGAGGCUUCGGGAGCACGGCCGAGUGCCUUGCUGUUGCUUCGCGGUACCGAUGAUGAAGAACGCGGCAGGCCAACUGCCGGAGGUGAGGCGGGAGACUGGGCGGCCGAGGUGGUCCACGGCGGCUGCCGGUUGGGGCAGCAGGGGAUCCGCCGUGGCGUCCAUGGACGUCCACCUGUUCCCCUCCUCUCCACGGACUGGGAUCAGAGCAUGUCACGCUGCAACAUGCGGCCUCCCGUCCGCCCUUCAAUCUUCAUCCAACGUCCCACAGCAAUCGAAGGCAAAAAAGAUAUUUCCAAACAAUAAAUUACACUGGUGAAAUGCAUCAGACUACUGUUUUCAGAGUUUGUUUAAUAGAAUCAUCAAACUACACAGGUGAAAUGCAUCAGACUACAAUGGUUGUUUUUCUGAACUGGUUCAGCCCAAGAAAAAUACCAAAUGACCUAUACUCUUUGUUUGUGCUAAAUGUAGUGUCAAAUGUGACAACAUCGUCAAAAUGUGCAUAGUCAAGUAGAAUUUUAGCAUCGAUCCAGAAAUAUGUUGGCUAUAUGCCCUCACUAUCCAACUGCAAAUGGUAUUUGAAUGCUGCAUUCUCAGCUUGCUUGUCACGAAAAUAAUUCAACAUACUUCCAGCAUGUCCAUAAGCCAACUCCCGCUGCCGCUUUCUUCGCAAAUGGUUCUUUUGGUCACGACACGUGUAACUAAGGUUGUUAGUACCACCAACUAGACGACAAGCAUACUCAUGUGAAGCUUUUGGCAUAAUUUCAGAAUCAUCGGCUGUUUCUAUCUCGAAAGCUUGCACUUGUGAAAUCUUCCUUUGUGAUGCUAACAAGUGGCGGGUUUGUGCCAAUUGAAGGCGGUGAUUGUGCUCCAAAACAACUUCGGUGACUUCAAAACUGUUGGCAACUCGAUCAUAUGUAACAAUCACAUGAGCCUUAUAAUUGGUUCUUGUUUUAGCUCUAAUACGCUUUGGGUCAUGAUCUGUUUGAUUUUUUUUCUCCGAUGGUCUUCAUUGGAACAAACAAACCAGCGUGUGAAGUAAUCACACCAUCACAUCUGCUUUUGAUUGUGGAUCUUUUCCUCACAUCAAAGCCGAUGUGACCCCAUAAUCUACCCAAAACUCCCAAGCCUCUUUCCGAAUCUCUGAACCUCAUACCUACUUUGGUUGUCCUUCCAAUUUCUGCCAUUGCACAACAUUCAAUUCUGCCAAACAAAAACAAAGUAUAUAAAUUAGUGCACUGCAAUCUCUGAACCCAAAUAAACCCAAACCAUGCUAACUCUGAACCCAAACUGCACAGGUAUAUAAAUUAGUGCAGGAAGAGGAGAGGCGACCUGGGAACCGAAUGUGGCGGUGAGGGUGGCGCUGGUUCCCGCGGUGACUCAAGGGGCGGCUCGGCGGAGCUGGUUCCCACGGCGACUCGGGCGGCGGCUUGGCGGAGCUGGUUCCCGCAGCGACUCGGGCGGCGGCUUGACGGAGCUGGUUCCCGCGGCGACUCGGGCGGCGACGACGCGACCCUGCGGGGGCUCAGCGAAGCUGGUUCCCGCGGUGACUGGGGCGGCGGCGAUGCGACCCUGUGGGGGCUCGGCGGAGCUGGUUCCCGCGGUGACUGGGGCGGCGGCGGCGCGACCCUGCGGGGGCUCGGUGAGCUGGUUCCCGCGGCGACCGGGGCGAUUUGGUCCAAGCCUCUUGGAUCGCUGUGGGACGUUGGAUGGAGAUUGAAGGGCGGAUGGGUGGUCGCAUGUUGCAGCGUGACAUGUUGUAGGCAUGUCACCUGAUCCCAGUCCCCUCUCCACUGGCCGAGGUCGUCGGUUGCUUUAACCUCUUUCUUUUUCUGGAAAACUGUUGACUACACUUUGGUACGAGGGCACACUGGGCGAAAUGAUAAUCUUUCCCCCAAUUUCCAUACAAAGACGCAAUAAUAAUACUAAGUGAUAUUUUUUAAUGCAAUAUAAAACAAAUACUUAUAUACACGCACAUACAUUCAUUCCUAAUCCCUAUGACUGCACUUACACACAUCCUACCCCUAUGUCUUCGAGACAAAGUGAGUAAAAACUAAAUUGAGGUGCUUGGACCAUCAAAUGAUCACUAUCGUCAUUGACGUUUGUUGUCGCUCCCCUAUUGGAGUCAGCCUAGCCUUACUGAUGAAAACUGAAAUGUCUUCAUGUACGUGUUCCUAAUGACUAGUGUCAUGUGGUCCUAGUCGUCAUCGUCGUUCACCGUCUAGCACCAGAUCUCGUCAUCACGUAUACAUGACGAAAUAUUCUAAACUUAUUGUUCAAGGAGAUGGCAUAAAUAUAUGUUGGGGCUCCAUUGACUUCGUGUAGACACACGAAUUCGAGGAGGAUCGGUGCCCCAAAGACCAACUUAAAGAAGAAGCGUCUCAUAUGUUCGAGCGUCAUCCUUGCGAGGACUAAAAAACUCUCAAACUACUAGCCAGAGUCGAGGCACCAGAAUCCCCCCGCCCCCAAUCGAGGCAUCGGUAGAGCCUUGAGGGGAAGAGUUUUCCCUAGAUGUGGCUUAUGAUGGGAAGGGAAGGAAGUUGGUUCUGCAAUGUAUGUUGCUUUAUUGAUUCCUUGAUUUUUAAUUGAACAACACUUUAAUAUUUUUAUAAAAGUAUUGAACUUUAUAUGGAUCUAGUAGAAAAAAUCAUUCAUACAGAGACUUCCAAAAUUUAAGGGCAUUUGCAUUGUGUUUUCUAGAGAGAGAAAAAUCAAACUACAUUAUCAAUUCUAAACAUUGUUUGAUAUUCAUGUUCUUAGGGGAAGUCUCGGGGCACACUUUAUUGAUUCUAAAUAUGGUUAAACCGUUUGCAAGAACAUAAGGGUAAAAUUUAGGGGGGGGGGGGGGCNNNNNNNNNNNNNNNNNNNNNNNNNNNNNNNNNNNNNNNNNNNNNNNNNNNNNNNNNNNNNNNNNNNNNNNNNNNNNNNNNNNNNNNNNNNNNNNNNNNNNNNNNNNNNNNNNNNNNNNNNNNNNNNNNNNNNNNNNNNNNNNNNNNNNNNNNNNNNNNNNNNNNNNNNNNNNNNNNNNNNNNNNNNNNNNNNNNNNNNNNNNNNNNNNNNNNNNGGGAGGGGGGGGGUGUCAGAUUGCGGGACAACUGAUAGCUCUCCGGCGGCAUGACUAGCGAAGGUGUCCACCACCAUAUUACUCUCACUAGGACUAAUCUCAAAGAUUACAUGAUCAAAACCCCGAGCUAAAAAGUAGAUUCCUCAUAGUAGUUGUUGCUAGACUUGUUGAGUUCCUCCCCGCAUGCAUCAUGCUAACGAUCUCUAUACAGGUCACGAUUAAUAAUGACUAUGUUGUAUCUCACCUGUCCCGCUAAGAUUAGACCAUUGCAAAGUGCAAGAGCUUCCGUAUUUGACGCAUCCCAACAAUUCAAGACCACAAGAACUUGCAGCUAUGGCCUCCUUAUCAUCAUAAAUUAUCGUUCUGGUAGCUCUUGUGCCCCUAUCCAAAAAGAACGCAAUAUCUAUAUUUAUCUUUACAUAGCCUUCUUGAGGUUUUUGCUAUCCAUGUCUAUCGGACCUCGCUCUCGGUGUGAGAGUUAAAUAGUACUCCAUUUGUUUUUAAAUAUAAGUCUUUUAANNNNNNNNNNNNNNNNNNNNNNNNNNNNNNNNNNNNNNNNNNNNNNNNNNNNNNNNNNNNNNNNNNNNNNNNNNNNNNNNNNNNNNNNNNNNNNNNNNNNNNNNNNNNNNNNNNNNNNNNNNNNNNNNNNNNNNNNNNNNNNNNNNNNNNNNNNNNNNNNNNNNNNNNNNNNNNNNNNNNUAAAUAUAAGUCUUUUAAAAAAAUUCAUUAGACGUCUACAUAUGAAGCAAAGUGAAUGAAUCAAUACUCUAAAGUAUGUCUAUAUGCAUCCAUAUGUAGUCCAUUAGUAAAACCUGUAGAAAGACUUAUAUUUAGAAACAAGGGGAAUAGUUCAUAGUCAAAGCCAAAAUCGUCCUUUUUUUUUUCCAAAGGUCGUUGAAUCAGUUCCUUGAAACAACUUGGCGUCACACCCACCAUAUAUACCAAACACGUUAUAACAAUAAGUUCAACCAAAUCCACAACAAUAAGAGCCGCUGUAGUACCUUAGCUUCCAGAGUGCACAAAAUCAACUAGUGUGUCAAUGAGAUUUCUAAGAUCCAACGCUUCCUAGAUUCCAUAGACUCUAGCACAUUGAAAGAAACAAUGAGGCCCCACUUGAAAUCCCAGUAAAAUUUUACAACCGUACAUUGAUUACCACUGUAUGUUACUGAAGAUCGGUAAAAUACAAUCCGAUAUUAAAGUGAGGUCUCGGGUGCGCUUGGUUCGUCUUAUUUCUCGUCCCCGUCCCUGUCCAGGCACUCGCCCGCGGGCGUCGGCGCUGGGACGAACAACGUCGUGCGCGCGUGCGCCGCGAGGACGGGGCAGCAGCGCCCGCGGUCGAGAGAGCCCGGACCGCCGCCGGCCGCAUGCCGCGGCCACGCCGCCGAAGGGCUCCGCGGAGAGGUCGAUGCGGCAGGGCGGGGAGGAGGGCGCCGCGGAGGAGUUGGACAGGGAUUGCGUCUGCGUGAGCGGGAACGAGGAGACGUCGGAGGCUCGGACGGGGGCGAGGAGUGCGAUGAGAACCACGACGGUCGCAAUGUAAGGAGGUGGCGGUGGCGGUGGGCAAGCGACAAGCAGAUAUCCGGCUCUGGGUACAUGAUACAGAGAAAAAACGAUGGGUGGAGGAGUGUUUCGAAAACAUGCGGAUUGCAAGCAGAUUAUAACUGUAAUGCAAAACCAGGUGUAAAGUUUACAAUGCAAAAACGUCAUUUCAAGUAGAUCCUCCGAUUUCGGUUAGAGAGGUUUUUUUUCCGUUUGUAAACUGCUGCAAAACGGCGAACCAAGCGCAGCCUGAAGGGUGUCCUGUACUCCCCGUUCCUAAAUCUUUGUAGAGGUUCCACUAAAGGACCACAUAUGAAUGUAUAUAAACAUAUUUUAUAGUGUAAAUUCAUUUAUUUUGUUUUGUAUAUAGACUAUUAGUGAAAUGUUUUAAAAGACUUAUAUUUAAGAAUGAAGGGAGUAAAUUACAGUGCUUGCACAUGCUACCGUUUUGGAUAUGCAUGUGGGCUAGUGCACUAUUUCAGCGAAUAGUGUCACGUAGUAACCUGCAAGCAUAAAUCUUACUUGCGUGGAGACUUUUAGAAACCAAACCAUUACCCAGAUGGAUUCAUCGCAAAAGUACCCUGACCACUUGUGCAAAUUAAUUCCGCUUCGCGUUGGCAAUCCCAUUCCGUAUAAUAAGCAGACCUCAUAAAAAAUAGACCCAUCAUUGUAUAAUUCUAAGCGGUAAAGUUCUCCAUGAGCUAGCGCGGUAUUGAAAAUUCUCGUUACAUCAAUGCUAUAAAAUAUACUCCGCACUAACACUUCGUCCCAACUCCUCAUUUU